AACAACAUCAAGCCAAACCAAUAACCCAUUUCUAUCAUCACUAUAUCCUCCUUCGCCACACUCUGAAAAACCAACUAAACCCUCAUUUCACACUUCAAUUCAUCACCAAACAGAGACUAAUUUCCCAAACUGCCCCAUUCUUGAAAACUUUUUCCCACAAUGCCCCAUUCUGAAGAAAAAAAAUCUCAAACUGCCCCAUUUUUCUUUUGGGACUCGCCCAUUGAUUGGACGAGAGGAUGGAGACUUUUUAACGAUGACUAGGCUCGGCCAUUGGUUGGGCGAGCUAGUGAAGGGAGGUUUUUUUUUAUUAUUUUAAAAACUAUUAUAUAAUUAAAUAACUUUAUUAAAAUUGUUAUUAAAUAGUUUUCUAAUUAAUUCUAUAUUUAAAUAAUAAAAUUGAUUAUUUUUUAAAUAAUAAUAAUAUUUUCAUAAAAUACUAAUAAUAGUUUUCUAAUAUUGUUCUAUUAAAACAUUAAUAAUAAAAAUGAUUAUUUUUUAUAAUAUUAGUAAUAAAAAUAAAUAUUUUUUUAAAAUAUUAAUAGAAAUGAAUAUUUUUUUUAAAUAUUAAUAAUAAAAAUGAUAUGUUUCCUUCCAAAUUUUCAAUAAUUUUUUGGAAUGAUAUGUUUCCCUCCAAAAAAUUUCGAAUGAUAUGUUUCCCUCCAAAAUUUUAAUGACCGAGCAAUUGCUUUGUGUUUGUACUGUCUCGGCCAAUGAUUGACCGAGUAUUCAAGUAUUAAUUUUCUAUAAAUAGAAGGACUUGUAAAAACUUAACUCAGAGCACAAAAUCCUUUAUUUUGGUAAAAAUGUUUGUUUGGGGUCUUGUAUUUUAUGGACAUGGUGAAAAAAUCAGUGUUUGUCUUGAUCCGCAAUGGAAUUUUAGAACACUGAUUUCAGCCAUCUACACCGGCUUCCGACAGUUGGGUGGGCGUCGCAUGAAGGUGAGGAAAGUAGAGUAUCAUUGUCCAUACAAAACGUUGACUGAUGCAAACCCCGAUGGUACGUACAUGUAUUACCUGGAUCGGAUAGAAAAUGAUGAAGAUGUUCAGUGUAUGUUUUCGACACAUAGUGGUGAAGUUAAUAGAGGAGUUGAAGGUCCACUUGUGUUGGUUGUUGUUGAUUAGUUUUUUAAUUACCACUUGUGUUGGUUGUUGUUGUUGUUUAGUUGAUGUAGUCGUACUUUGUAACCAGAAGCCUUUGAUUAUCAAAUGUAUUUCAUAAUUGUUUGUUCCCAAAAGACAUUAUAAAUACACAAUGGUUUAUAUAUAGUACGUGCAUAGUAGUUAAUAAUUAAAAAAAAACAUAAUCAUCUGGACGGAUAUUUAAAAUAACAACAUAAUCAUCUGGAUGGUCGCUGGGACGAUCCUGCAACAUUAGGACAUUUCCUACGCAUGUGUCCUAUUUCACGGUAAAUUCCACACCUUCUCUUUUCCUUCUCAACGUCGUCCAUCUCGGUUCUAGUCCUGGUGCUGUUUGGGCGCCCUUUCUUCCUUCUUCUCAUUGAGUCGUCAUGGCAAAGAGUAAAUCCUUCAUAUUGUGGCCAAUUCUCCUCAUGGGGAAGUCCUAGAAAACUCUCCUUAUAGACCUUGAACACGUUAAGAAUUUUGAAGACGUCUGGAAUGUGAAUGGAGUAGUCCCAACGUAUGCUCGAACAUGCUGCGAUUACAUGGGAGCAAGGUAAGUGAAAUGUGAUCGGGAAAAUAGCAAGUGUACUAUUUUGCCUUUUAUAGUAAUAAUGGGGAAAUUCCCCGAAUGUCGAUCUCAAGGACUGCACGUUAGUAUUGAGUUUAAAUUAUCAUUCAAUUAAACAAAAAUAAGUGUACUAUUUUGCCUUUUAUAGUAAUAAUGGGGAAAUUCCCCGAAUGUCGAUCUCAAGGACUGCACGUUAGUAUUGAGUUUAAAUUAUCAUUCAAUUAAACAAAAAGUAUUAAUUUGGGUUUUUUGAGUGUAAAAAGAAAACAAUAAAGAAAUAUGAAAAUAAGGGUUUAUAGAGAAAAAGGAAUAAUGCCAGGGAAGGUGUAUGAUUUAUCCUUGUAAUUACUCUGAGAUACCAUUGCAUCAACAAAUAUCAAUUACUACCAGUUCUCAAGGGUAUUUUCUCCCAAGUCCUUGGUGAGAAAACCUUUAAUCAAUCUACCCUCAUUCAUAUGUCCAUAGCCAAUGAGGGUAAAGUUAAGCUGUAUAAUAUCAAAAAUGCUCUGGUUCAUACAGGGUAUCCCUAGUCCUAGGUGAUAUCUACUGCAGAGUAACCUGAUGAAAACCUUAUCACUUGCGGUCCAGCCUAAGUGAUAACCAUAGAUCAAUCUCGAUUGGUCCGAAAGAGAAAGCAAUAAACACAUCAAAAUGUUACCGUAAACAAAAUAUUAUAAAUGCAAAUGUAAACUCAAAUUCAUUACAACUCUAAAUCAGGGACACCCCCUAGCAUUGGGGGGUUUAGCUACUCAUAUUGUUUAAAACCAAAUCAAGAUAAAAAUUACACAUUAUAAGUAAUUGGAUGACUUUGAUCUUCAAUCGCUCCCGCUCAUGAAUCUCUUCAGCUCUCCAAAUGCCUUGAUCUCUGUAAUACUUGAUUGCUUCAUUAAUUGGAUGACUUUGAUCUUCAAUCGCUCCCGCUCAUGAAUCUCUUCAGCUCUCCAAAUGCCUUGAUCUCUGUAAUACUUGAUUGCUUCACAAUACUAUGGUUUGCUGUAUUCCAAGAUGAUUUUUACUUUGGUAGAAGACCUCUUUUUAUAGUGAAAGUUCCCAGCAGCAGUUGGACAGGUCCAAAGAUGUCUCCAUAAAGCCCGAAGAAUGAAAAGCUCGGAAAAAUUGGAAAUAUUGGGCUUGGGCUGACACGGCCCGUGUCAGCUGACACGGGUGGCCGUCUCAGCCUACUGGUCAUCCUGACACGCCCCUGGCAUGCCCAACACGGGGUGAAGUUCUGCCUGACACGGGUGGCCGUGUCAGGCUACUGUUUUCUUCUUCUGUUUCCCUUUCCCUGACACGGCCCGUGUCAGGUGACACGGGUGGCCGUGUCAGGCCUCCUGUACUGGGAUUUUCUACUCCUCUGCGUAUCGGACUCUCGCACUGUCGUGUUCUGAGUUCUCCGGUUCCUCUACCUGGAUCUGUCUGACAAAAACACAGUUAUCCCACGCAUAAAAUCAAGAUAAACAAAAUAAAAUAGAAUAAAGAUUAAAAAUGCGUAAAUGACAUAACGGAAGUAAAACUACUCGAAUUGUACCUUAAAUGCGUGCACAAUGUAUCAAAUGUCUCUGUUUUGCGUCGGAUCAGUAAUGAAAACUUACUAUAAUGUUUCCGUAUCACUCCCUAUAAUUCUUUAUGCUUUCCACCACUGCUGAGAUCAUUCACAAACGUCUUCCCUUUCCUUCCACAAGUCCUACCCCUCCUUGUAAGUCAUCAUUCACACUUCCACUUUAAAACACUGUUUCACCUGUCAACUUAUUUCACAUUCUCACCAAUUCUCUCAGAGUUAACUGUUUACACUCAUAAUUCGAAGUAUGCAAUAUCACUGACAAGUUUGAAUAGUCUCUCUUUUCUCAUCACCUAGACAUAACACACACACUUUUGAGGUCUUUAGGGUUGUAGCUUGGCUUGGGUUAGGGUAUGGAUUAAAAAAAGAAGGAAAAUAAGGGGCUUUUGGCUCAGAGUCGAUGUUAUAUCCUGUGUUGGUUUCUUUUAUUUCCUCGGUUUUCUUUUCUUAUUUCUUGAAUCUUUACCGACUACCCUUUUCCGUGCUUCUUUCUUUUGAAUCAUCGAGUAUUUAAUUUUUAUUUUUCUUUCUUUUUCUUGAUUCAUCACUUUUUCUUUUUCUCUUGUUUUUGCACUUUCUAGGGCUUUGAGAGCUUUUUGGGUUUUUACCCCAAACUUAGCUUUUUAACACAGUUGAAAUAUAUUCUCAUGAGUCUGAGCAGGGUGGGGAAGUGUUUUUGGCCAAUGGUUACAUUCAUGGUGUUUUAAACAAAAAAUGGAUAUAGGCUCAACGGGGGUUAACGAAGGAUAUAAUAAUGCGGGAUAGCUAGAAAGGCUCGGGGUUAAUUACAAACAACGUGCCUUAGUGUGUGUAUCAUGCAGUGACAGUCCCAGAGAGUCUACACAAAUUAAGAGUGAUAAAGACAAACCUGAAUGACGCUCAUGAUGAUUAAUGUGUUUGGCCUUUUCUGACUCACUUGGUUUGGUUAAGCUUUGACAGGAUCCAACGUGCUUCUUAAUUUGGUGCAAUUGCUUUCUUACUUCGGAGUGUGCAAGAUACUUGUGUCGGUUAAGCUGUGUACGUUGCGUCCGAUCUUUACUUUCAGCAUUGUCACUUUCUGGGGAGAUCCUUCACAACAAGCCAUGGUGAGAGGUGUGAUCUUUCAUCCAUUCUCACUUGUGAUUAUUACCUUUCCAACUUGUCAACACAGACUUGACACACAUACUUGCAGCAUAAUGUACAUUCAACCGACAAAUACAAAAUUAAAAAGUAAAAAUAACACCAAUAAAUUGCAAAUAACAGACAUAAAAUCUCCCCCACACUUGAACUCAACAUUGUCCACAAUGUUUGUGACCAAGCGCGAAGGAGGGAACUUACAGGGUCCUACUAAGGAGGCGGUUGCGGAAAAUGCAACAUCAACGGUUGCAUCAUGCUGCUCAUCUCAUCCAACAUCGCCCCCUGACGGGCUUGCUCGAUGCCUUGCCUUUGUUGUUCAGUCCUCAAGUCACCUAUUUUGGUCUGUAUCCAACCCCAUUGGUCAGUUGACCAAGAUGAGGAGUCCGCCGCCUGUUGGGUGGGUUCCUGAGGUUGUGGAACGAACUGCUUAGGAGGUGCUUGAGGAUAUUCUUCUUCUCUUUCCGUUCCUUCUGCCUGGUCGUCUACAAAGUGCUCACAUGCAAUUGGCGUGUCCUCGAGUAAAACACCCUGAUACCCGAAAUGCAAUGCGAUUUGGGUGAUCAUGCCUCCCACGGAAAUGCCUUCGGAGUUUGCUCGACCGACUCUCCCCAGGUAGUUUGUUGCAAAGGCAGCUACAUUGAUGGUCUGAUUUUGAGCCAUCGAGUACAUGAAGAAUAGCUCUCUCUGAGUAGCUACUCCAGUGUUGUCGCCUCUACCAAACAAUGUGUAGGCUAAACCUUUUGGGGCGUACCUGAAACAGGGAUUUUGGAUGCCCGAUGCUUUUGCACCUUUGGAGGAGUAAUUCAUCCUCCCAGUUAUAGCGAUCCAGAAAUCCUUAGGAGAAAACUCAUCUGGGACCGCUCCGGGUCCGUUCAGCGGGAGUCGGAGUAUAGAAGCUAACUCCUCAACAGACAAUUCGUGGUAAUUGUUAAAUAAUCGAAAGCGUAAGGUGCCAAAAUAAUACCUGGUGGUGUUAACCCACCGCUUUUCUCGCUGAAACUCCAAGGUGCUGAGGAACUCGAGAGUGAUGCGUUCGUAGGUCGGCGCCUCCAAACUCAUAAACUCGAGCAUGCCCAAGACGUGGAACAUUCGGUCUACCUUAAUUUUUAGCCCGAGAUCGGUCAGAGUCUUCUCACACAUAUACCGGGUCGGUGUAAGCUUGCGUUUCCGGUGGAUUUGGUAACGUCUCUCUUGCUCCGGGUUGUCAAACACAAUAUUAUGCGGAUUAGGAUUCCGGCUCGGACGCUUUCGGGACUUUGCCAUCUCUGCACGUUGUUGCUUUCCGGUAAGGAUUCUGUUCGAGGACAUUUUGGACCUGCAAAAAUAGUAUAAUUCCGAACUUUCGAGUUAGAAAAAUCUAAAAUGGUGGUUGCGAUCGGGACGACGAGGUGAGAAAUAUUUGUGAAGGGUGUUUGGGCUAUAGGUGAGUGAAACUUGGUUGCAUGUGUGGUUUUGUGUGGUGAGGUGAGUGAAUUUUAAUGGAGUUUGUGAGAGAGUGGGAGAAGAAGAUGAAAAGUAUGAGAGAGAGUAUUGAAAAGUGGUGUAAAAAUCUGCUAAUGAUGAGUGAUUAAGGAAAAAAGAGUGGUUAAAAAUGGUUUAAGUGGGUGGGCCCCACAAAAAUUUCAAAAUUUCAAAAAUUUUCCAAAAAAUGCGCACGCCUGACACGGGUGGUCGUGUCAGGCUACUGUUUUUACCCUUUUUCAACUUCUUUUACAGUGGUCCUGACACGGGCCGUGUCAGGCCACUGUUCUUCAUCAUCAAAAUUGUUUUCUUACAGUGCUCCUGACACGGCCCGUGUCAGGCCACUAUUUUUUUCAAACAUCCUUUCCAAAUUUUCCUCUUUUGACACGGCCCGUGUCAGCUGACACGGCCCGUGUCAGCUGACACGGGUGGCCGUGUCAAGCUGUCCUUUUGGCCAUUUUUUGGUUUUCGUGUCAGGUCAACCGCUGGUUCCUCUGGCUCCUCCCUAUGGGACUCUUGUAUACGUACAAACAAAAAAAUGCUUAGAAAUAAAAAGCGUGGGUUGCCUCCCACGAAGCGCUUCGUUUAACGUCGCAUGGCUCGACGAUUCAUUUCCCUUAUCAUGGGGGGUAUUUCAGGUUCACAACCUUGUUGCACCUCUUGUCUACAACUCGGACAUUGUCUCUUUUAUCAGUGUGGACUCCUUUGUUCCCCGAUUCUUUUUUAACCUUCCUUUUGGUGCUAGGAAUCCUUCCGUUUAGGGUGGCUACUGGCAGUGGUGAGACUUUGAUAGUAUUCAAUGUUCUGAUCAGGCUUACUUGAUACUGAGAUCAUGUAUCUUCCUCCAUCUCCUGGUCUUUAAUAGCGUCCAAUGUUAUUUCCUUGUUGUGAACUUUCAAGGUUAACGUGCACUCAUCCAUGUCGAGCUUGCAUCGACUCGUCUUCAUGAAAGGUCGACCCAGAAUGAUGGGUGCCUCAUUGUCUUCCGGUAUGUCUAGGAUUACAAAAUCGAUUGGAAAAGUCAAGUCCGCUAUUGUUACCAACACACCUUUGGCUAUACCAUAUGCAUCUUUUCUUGAGUGAUCCGCAAACUUCAGAUUGGUCUUUAUAUCACUGAUAUUUUUAAUACCCAGCCCGUGAUAGAUUGAUAAUGGCAUCAAAUUCACACUAGCUUCAGAAUCUAUUAGUACCUUCUUGAAGGUUCUUUCUUUGAUUGUGCAUGGUACUGUGACAGUCCCUGGAUCCUUUUGUUUGUUAGGAAUGUUCUGCUCCAGGGAGUUUGUAUUAUAUUGUUCCUCACCGGAUACAUGUUCUUCAGUGGUUGGUUUUUUUUCAGCCAUUAACUUUUCCACUAAUUUCUUGUACAUGGGUAUCCUUUCAAGUGCUUCAAAUAAGGCCAUAUGACCCUCAAUCUUUUUAAAUAUUGUCAUGAAUUUCUCCAAGUAUGAUCCACUAGGUUCCUUCUUUGUCAUUCUCUGAGGGUAUGGCAACUUAAUCAUCAGUUUAGUUUCUUUCAUAUUUUCUUCUUUAGUUGGCUCGCUUGGUGAUAUAAUUUUUUUCUUUUUAGCCGCCUUUUUCCCUGUUGUCGUGACAGUGUUAACAUUCUCCUGACCUCUCGGAUUUUGAACUGUUUCACUUGGAAGGGAACCUGGUGUUCGAGAACUUGCCAGUUGUUGCGCUAUCUGCCCUAGCUGGACUUCAAGAUUCUUUAGGGAGGCGGUGGUGUUUUUCUGAUUGUUUCUAGUCUCUUCUUCAAAUUGCCUAUUUUGAGUUGUUAGGUUUUCAAUGGCAAUAUCCUAGUCUGCCUUCUUAGGUGCCUGUUAUUGUUGUUGUUGUUGGUGAUACUGAGUUUGAUAUUGCCAUGUACCUUGUUGCGGAACAUUCCCUCUCUAAUCUUUCCAGGAGAAGUUUGGAUGAUUCUUCCAACCUGGGUUGUAAGUAUUAGAGUAGGGAUUAUUCUGCUUCAAGAAUUUGAUCUCUUCAAUUUGUUGGGGAGUUGCAAAGCAAUAGACAGUGUGGUGAGGUCCAUUACAGAUUUCACAAGUGCUCUCCUGAACUGGUUGAACUUGCACGACCUAUUGAAUACUUAUAUUCAUAGCUUUCAGCUUUUUGUCUACUUCAGCAGCAACAGUGUCUUCCAGACGGAUUUUAUUUGUCUCUAAUUUUAGAUCAAUCACCCUAUCUGACUGCCUGGUACACCUGUCAUAGAGCUCUAGAUGCUCAUUAGCCGUUAUUGCUUCAAUGAUCCUCUUGAUACCGGUGGCUGUUGAGAAAUUUGUUGAGCCACCGGCUACUGUAUCAAUCAACUGUUUUGUCUUUAAUUUCAACCCAUUGACGAACAUCUGCAUUUGUUCUGUCUGAUCCAUAUUAUGAGUGGGACACGCGACUAAGAUCCUUUUGAAUCUUUUGUAUGUGUCUCCCAAUGAUUCACCAUCCUUCUGUUUGAAAUUCAGAAUUUCAUACCUUUUUCUCAGGAAUACUGAUGCUGGAAAAUACUCAUUUAAGAAUGCAGUUUCCAUCUCCUCCCAGGAAGUGAUACUCAUCCUUCUGUUUGAAAUUCAGAAUUUCAUACCUUUUUCUCAGGAAUACUGAUGCUGGAAAAUACUCAUUUAAGAAUGCAGUUUCCAUCUCCUCCCAGGAAGUGAUACUACCGGCCGGGAGAGAAUAAAACCAUUCUUCAGCGUCUUCAGCUAAAGUGAACGAGAACAUUCUUAAUUUUUUUGCUUCAUCGGUGUGACCAUCAAUUUUCAAGGUGGUGCUCAUGGUCAGAAAUCUCUGCAGGUGUUUGUUGGCAUCUUCAUUAACCUUUCCGGUGAAAGGUUUUCUUUCCAAUUGAUUGAUAGUGCUAAGAUGCAGUUGAAAAUUUGUCACAUUCACCGGUUGGUUAACUAUCGUUAUUCGACCACCCGGUGCGUUUUCACCUCCGUAGUCACCUAGGAGUCUCUCCGGAGGUGGAAGAGGUGGAAUUGGAGGAACUUCAGCCAUAGGUUCCUUGACUUCUGGUUGAUCUGAGGUACUUUCUUCUGUAGAAUCCACUCUUUGUUCUCCGUGUCUUCUAUGAAGGGUUCUCUCGAUCUCUGCGUCAAAAGGAAUUUCAGCUGAGGGUUUUCCUCGCAUACACUGGUUAGUAAAAUAUAAAUGACAGAAAAAUAAUUUUAUUGCAGAUCAACAAAAUUUUAAUUAAAAUAAAAUUAAACUCUAUAUUUUUGGCAGUCCCCGGCAACGACGCCAAAAACUUGAUCGGGAAAAUAACAAGUGUACUAUUUUGCCUUUUAUAGUAAUAAUGGGGAAAUUCCCCGAAUGUCGAUCUCAAGGACUGCACGUUAGUAUUGAGUUUAAAUUAUCAUUUAAUUAAACAAAAAGUAUUAAUUUGGGUUUUUUGAGUGUAAAAAGAAAAUAAUAAAGAAAUAUGAAAAUAAGGGUUUAUAGAGAAAAAGGAACAAUGCCAGGGAAGGUGUAUGAUUUAUCCUUGUAAUUACUCUGAGAUACUAUUGUAUCAACAAAUAUCAAUUACUACCAGUUCUCAAGGGUAUUUUCUCCCAAGUCCUUGGUGAGAAAACCUUUAAUCAAUCUACCCUCAUUCCUAUGUCGAUAUCCAGUGAGGGUGAAGUUAAGCUGUAUAAUAUAAAAAAUGCUCUGGUUCAUACAGGGUAUCCCUAGUCCUAGGUGAUAUCUACUGCAGAGUAACCUGAUGAAAACCUUAUCACUGGCGGUCUAGCCUAAGUGAUAACCAUAGAUCAAUCUCGAUUGGUUCGAAAGAGAAAGCAAUAAACACAUCAAAAGGUUACCGUAAAUAAAAUAUUAUAAAUGCAAAUGUAAACUCAAAUUCAUUACAAUUCUAAAUCAGGGACACCCCAUAGCUUGGGGGGGGGGGGGGGUUAGCUACUCAUAUUGUUUAAAACCAAAUCAAGAUAAAAUUACACAUUAUAAGUAAUUGGAUGACUUUGAUCUUCCAAUCGCUCCCGCUCAUGAAUCUCUUCAGCUCUCCAAAUGCCUUGAUCUCUGUAAUACUUGAUUGCUUCAUAAUACUGUGGUUUGCCUGUAUUCCAAGAUGAUUUUUCCUUUGGUAGAAGACCUCUUUUUAUAGUGAAAGUUCCAGCAAACAAUUGGACAGGUCAAAGAUGUCUCCACAAAGCCCGAAGAAUGAAAAGCCGGAAAAUUGGAAAUAUUGGGCUUGGGCUGAACACGGCCCGUGUCAGUCUGACACGGGUGCCCGUGUCAGCCUACUGGUCAUCCUGACACGCCCCUGGCAUGCCCAACACGGGGUGAAGUUCUGCCCGACAUGGCCCGUGUCAGCUGACACGAGUGGCCGUGUCAGGCUACUGUUUUCUUCUUCUGUUUCCCUUUCCCUGACACGACCCGUGUCAGGUGACACGAGUGGCCGUGUCAGGCCUCCUGUACUGGGAUUUUCUGCUCCUUUGCGUAUCGGACUCUCGCACUGUCGUGUUCUGAGUUCUCCGGUUCCUCUACCUGGAUCUGUUUGGCAAAAACACAGUUAUCCCACGCAUAAAAUCAAGAUAAACAAAAUAAAAUAGAAUAAAGAUUAGAAAUGCGUAAAUGACAUAACGGAAGUAAAACUACUCGAAUUGUACCUUAAAUGCGUGCACAGUGUAUCAAAUGUCUCUGUUUUGUGUCGGAUCAGUAAUGAAAACUUACUAUAAAUGGUGACUGAUCAAAAUGCCUGAAAUUUCCCACAAUCACAAUGUUGUUUCCUUAGAUUAACGAUGAAUGUUCCGGUUGGCCGACCGUCGUUAUGAUUAAUCUUCUCUUGGACCAUGAAAUAAAAUCUCUCGCGAUCGAAUUGCAUGACGUUUUGCAUGUUAGCUUUGAUGACUUCCUCAGCCAUCCCCUUGUUGCAGUUAUCAGUGAAAACCUACCCAGAGGCUAACAUUUUUAUCCAUUGAUGGCCUCUUCUACUAAAUAGUGAUCUUAAUUGAUAGUACGUAGAUUUGACCAAUGCAAUGAUUGGAAGGUUUCAGGUUUCUUUUAGCACCAAGUUCAUUACUUCUGCUAGGUUAGUUGUCAUGUGACCCCAGCGUUGCCCUCCGUCAAAUGCCCUUGCCCACUUCUCCCGAGGGAUGUUGUCUAUCCAUGAUAAAGCGUUGUUGUUUGUUCUUCAGAUUUCCCCCCGAUAGUUAAAUUUUGCCUCUGUUAACGCAUAACCCAUGUUAACAACUAUUUUGCGUAGAUCCUUGUCUUUAAUCUCUCGCAUGAAGUUUUGUGCGAUGUGUCUAAUGCAAUAGACGUGUGAUGAUGGAGGAUACUGCCAUCCAUUUUCCGGAUUGUUAUAUGCAUUCUUUAUCAAUUCAUGUCUGUCUGAUAUUAGACACAUAUUUGCUUGGGGAGUAACGUGUAUUCUUAAAUUUUUAAGAAAGAAACUCCAAGCUCCUUUGUCUCACUUUCAACCAAUGCGAACGCUAUCGGAAAUAUGUUCCCGUUCCUAUCCUGUGCCACAACCAUCAAUAGAGUCCCUCUGUACUUGCCAUACAACCAUGUUCCAUCAACCUGCACAAUAAGUUUACAAUACGCGAAACCACGUAUACAUGGUCGAAACGCCCAAAACAGACGAUGAAAUAUCCUUUGGUCACCCAAGUGUGAACCAUCAUUUGAAAUCACAGGUAAGGAUUGCAAUUCUAUAAUGGUUCAAUACGCGAAACCACGUAUACAUGGUCGAAACGCCCAAAACAGACGAUGAAAUAUCCUUUGGUCACCCAAGUGUGAACCAUCAUUUGAAAUCACAGGUAAGGAUUGCAAUUCUAUAAUGGUACCUGAUAGAUAUGUUUUCAUUACCAGUAUCCACUACGGCAUAUCGUUGUAAGAUGUCUCUCAAUUUCCAUACAGCGAGUCAAUUGCCUUACACUUUGCAAUCCAUGCCUUUUUGUAGGAUAUGAUAUACCUGUAUUUCUCAGCAACGUGAGCAAUGAUAACCUUCACCUUAAGAUAAGCGUCCCGAUUUACAAGCUCCGUUAUGCUCUUACUAAUCAUUUCUGAACUGAGUUUUGUAUGGUCUUGUGACAUGGAAGUGGUUGUGCACGUAUGAGGCACACCAGACUUACCAACUCUCCACCUUGAGUUGCCCUUACGCAAAUAGACCCUGCAUUUGAAAUUGCAUGUUGAAUUUCUACAUUUGAUGACAACACGUACAUUGUCAGAUUUAACCACAGAAAAAUCUAGACUACGUUUUAUAUGCCAUUGUUGCAAUGCUAGAACACACUCUUCCUUAUUUUCAUACUCGAUGCCCUCCUCUAUUUCGUCAGCAUUGUGAGUUGGUAUGAAACUUUCGAAAAUGGAGAUUGGUUCAACAUCAUCCAAACUUAUGUUUUGCAUGUGCACAGGUGGGUUGUACAAACUAAUUGGUUGCGCUCUUAGUGCAACGGUCGGUGUGUCGAAGAUCUCUUCAUUGCCAUCGUCAUCGCUAACACCAAAUAGAUCUUCAAAUCGAACCUCCUCAAGAUCAUCCUUACUAUUCUCGCCUACCUCUUCAUUUGGUAUGAAAGGUUCAUUAUUUUGAGUCGGUUCUUUGUCAAUGGCUUGACUCAUUCCGUACUCGUGUGACUGUAUAGAUUGCGUUGGAUAAUAGAGAUUUUCAUUGUGACUUGGUUGUUCUUCAAGAUUUUCGAUUAGACGAACAUAUAUCUCAAUGGUGGGUAAUUGAGAUAAUGUUAUAUGACAUUGAAAAAUCGACUUGACAUCUUCGUCAGUCUGAAUGGGUGUCAUUAUGUAAAAGACGGUAUUAUCAUCUCCAUUAAAUAAUGGAUGGCGAUAAAUGAUGUCUUCAACAUAACUUUGUAACUUUUUUUUCAACACGGUCUUUUAAAUGAUGGAAGUCGAAGUUGGUGUGAAUUUUGAACAUAUGCAAAUUCGUAUUGCAAAAUGAGAAUCCCUCAUUUGCAUCUGUGAAAAGGGACCCUUCGGAAUGGAUAGACACAAUUAAAUUUCUUUGAGCCAUGAAUGUGGAAUAUUUGAUUUUGCAAAUUCGUAUUGCAAAAUGAGAAUCCCUCAUUUGCAUCUGUGAAAAGGGACCCUUCGGAAUGGAUAGACACAAUUAAAUUUCUUUGAGCCAUGAAUGUGGAAUAUUUGAUUUGAUUAAGGAGAUACGAUUGUAGAAUAUUUGAUUUGAUGAAAAUAAGUAAAGAUAUAAAUGUAGUAGAUUUGGUUUGAUGAGAAUGGUUGAAGAUAUGAAUAAUAUUUGGUAAGAUGAAGGAGAUAUGAAUGUAGAAUAUUUGGUUUGAUGAAAAUAAGUAAAGAUAUAAAUGUAGUAGAUAUGGUUUGGUGAGAAUGAAUGAAGAUAUUAAUGCAAUUUAUAGUCAACAAAACAUAAUCCUAGUAAACCAAACCCUGUAGAAAUCACAUGCAACUCGUCCUUCAAUUGGAAGAGAGAGAAAACGUGAAAACCCUAGCCUUCACUAGCUCGCCCAUUCAUUGGACGAGUCAUAACCCUAGAAGAACAAGCUCACCCAUUCAUUGGACGAGGCAACACGCCACAUGACUAAGCUCGUCAUUCCAUUGGACGAGCCAACACAUUACAAGGGUUAACUCAUCCAUCAAAGGGACGAGUCUGCACGCAGGCUUUUUGGCAGUGUGAUUUCCAAUCAGCAUGGGAAUCUCGUGGUUGCAGGGAUUCCUUGCAAAAAAAAUUUGCAUGCAUUCCCUUACUUGUCCAAUCACCCUGUACAAUUCUAACCUAUCUAUUUAAUAUUUUUUACCACUAUAAAUAAACCUUUCCUCUACAAUUCUUUCUCAUCAUCUUCCUACAAUUUUUAUUUCACAAAUACUUACUCUCUUCAAAUAUUUACUCUCUACAAAUAUUCAGUAUCUUCAAUUCCAAAAUAUCUUUGUUGUGGAUGGGCGAAUCACACCAUGGGACGGCGGAAAACAUUGCCGAAUACGUAAGUCUCUUUCAAAUCUAUUUCACAAAUUCAAUAUGUAAAUAUCACAUCAAAUAUUCAUUACCAUUUUUAUUUGAAUUUCAGGAAGACGAUAAGUUCCGGGUCCAUUCGGAUACAUGCAUUCAACCAAGUGCGAUUAUAAUACCGUAUUUGGAACUAGUCGGUUUUGCAAAUGUGGCCAAGAUUGCAAGUCUAAAAGUAAAUUCUAAAUUAAUUGUUGCAUUGUUAGAGAGAUGGAGACCCGAGACACAUACCUUUCAUUUACCAACGGGUGAAUGUAUUAUCACACUAGAGGAUGUGAGUAUGUUACUCGGUCUCCGAAUCAAUGGUAAAGCUGUUGAUGGCCCAACAAACGUAACCAAUGAUGUUUACAUGGAGAAUUUGGGCAUCGAACCAACAUCUUCAGAUAACAAUGGGGCUUCUGUCAAAAUUGUUUGGUUUGAAGCCGUAUUAACACAAUUGAAAAAUAACCCUAACCCGACCGAGGCAGAAAAUAUUCUUCAUUCAAAAAUUUAUAUUUUACUUUUAAUUGCUACUUUUUUAAUGCCAGAUAAAAGUCACAAUUUGUUGCAUUCUUCUUGGUUACCUUUAGUAGGAGACCUAGAAAAAUGUAAUACAUACAGUUGGGGUUUUGCUUGUCUGGCGACACUAUAUAGACACAUGUGCAAAGCAGCCCAUAAAGGAGUCAAGAGCAUAGGAGGUUGUGUUGUAUUACUAAUUGUAUGGGCAUUCACACGUAUACCCUUGUUAGCCCCGGUUAGUAAUGAGGUUCCAUCACAUCCUUAUGCAUUAAGGUAACGAUUUUCAUUUAAAUGCAAUUUAUAUUUCUCAAAAUCAUUUAUACGUCGCUUUAAGGUAUUUUUUUUAAUUGCAAGAUGGUGCAAACGAGGUAUGAAUUACGGAAAUAAUCCUCGUCAUCAUCUACGAGGGUAUCGUGUUGCAAUAGAACACAUGGAAGAAAACGAUGUAAGAAUGAUUAAUUAUAAUAUUCAACUUAUUUAAAUUUAUUUUAUACAUUCUAAUAGUUAUAUUUCUUUUAACAGUUUAUUUGGAGGCCGUAUUGUAAGAAUGAUUAAUUAUAAUAUUCAACUUAUUUAAAUUUAUUUUAUACAUUCUAAUAGUUAUAUUUCUUUUAACAGUUUAUUUGGAGGCCGUACAUACAAUAUCCAGUACCUGAUUAUAGUGACAGCCGAGUUUGGAGUGCAACAACAUAUAUGGUAUGUUUCUUUACCGUUGAGAUGCAUCAGACAGAUCGAGUCAAACUCCAAUUUGGAUUUGAACAACAAAUACCGUCUCAGCCAAGAUGUCUAAGUGAACACCAUAACAUGACUAUGGUCCAAGCUUGGGACACACAUUGGCAAGAUUUAAACAAAGAUGAGCUAAAAGAAUGGAAAAGAAGAAGGCAUUUGGUGUUACAAGGAAACUUGGUAAUUGGUGGGUCUAAGCGGGGUAGAGAAUACAUGAAUUGGUUUUUAUCAAUUCCUUUUAUGCACAUUGCUCCAACACAGUUUUUGAAUGAUCACCGUCAACGCGUAGCUUCUUCAAUCCAACAAACAACAUCACCCCCACAACAACAUAACCAACCAUCAUCCUCAGAUCAACAAACUUACCAACACACCCAGGCCAUACAACAACGCACAAUUUAUUCCACCUCAACCCAACACCAUAAUCCCCACACUCCAUUCCCUCAAACAAACUACAAUUACAACCAACAAUAUCAACAACAAACCAACCUACGCCCACCCAUACAAUACACUCCAAUUCCUCAACCCAACUUUGAAUACUCAAACCCUCAUUCUCAACCCCAAACAUCUAACACCACAUUCGUACAACCCACUCCUACAUACAACCAUGAUGAUGUCUAUUAUCCUCCUAUCCAACACACCCAACCCAGCACCUACACACAACUCCCACAUUCACUACCCAACUAUGACCUCACUGAUGAUCAUCUAAUGAAUAUCCUUUCUUUUCGCAUUCAAGAUCUCGACAAUAUGGACAUGCCUCCAAACACAUCACAACAACAUCAAAGUCAACAACAACAUCAACAACAAGACGCCCAUGAUGAAUUAUCUUCCGACUCAUCUUCGUCUCCUGCAAGACAGACAAAAAGACUUGGGCAAGGAAAACGCAAAAAAGUUGGCACAAGAUGUGGACAGGUGAUCACUAUAAAUAAAAUGUAUUUCUUCCAUUAUAUCAAUAAAAUAAUUCUUAAUCAUUACAAUUUAUUAUAUGCCUCAUUAUAAUAUUUAUAAUUGUAUAAUAAGUAUAUAAAAAAAUAAAUCAUUUCUAUUAUUAAUAUUAAAAAAAAAUCAUUUUAUUAUUAAUAUUUUAAAAAAACAAUAUUAGAAAACUAUUAUUAUUAUAAAAAACUAUUAUUAUUAACAUAUUAUAUUAUAUAUUUUUAUAAAAAUAUUAUUAUUAUUUAAAAAAAAAUCAAUUUUAUUAUUUAAAUAUAGAAUUAAUUAGAAAACUAUUUAAUAAUAAUUUUAAUAAAAUUAUUUAAUUAUAUAAGAGUAUUUAAAAUAAAAAAAAAUAAAAAAAAUUCUUUCACUAGCUCGGCCAAUGAAUGGCCGAGCCUAAUCAGUAUAAACACGUCUUCAUCAUCUCGCCCAUUCUUUGAACGAGUCCAAAUAGAAAAGUGGGGCAUUCUUAGAGUUUUUUUUAGAUCGGGGGAAUGUGGGAAUAAAAUUUCAGGUUGCGGGUGGUCGGGCAAAUACUCCCAAACAUAAACAAAAUCAAAACCAGUUAUCCUCUGCGAUUCACAGAAGAAAACACAAAGCAAAAACCUAACAUCAAUGGCUCCGAAUUUGGAAUGUCGAAUGUACGAGGCACGGUACCCAGAAGUAGACAUGGCAGUGAUGAUACAGGUCAAGAACAUAGCCGACAUGGGUGCUUACGUUUCACUCCUCGAAUACAACAACAUCGAGGGUAUGAUUCUGUUCUCUGAACUCUCUCGCCGUCGAAUUCGUAGUGUCAGUAGUCUCAUCAAGGUGGGUAGAAUUGAACCGGUGAUGGUUCUUCGUGUUGAUAAGGAAAAGGGUUACAUCGAUCUCAGUAAACGUAGGGUUUCUGAAGAAGAUAUUCAAGCUUGUGAAGAAAGGUAUAAUAAGAGUAAACUUGUUCACUCUAUUAUGCGUCAUGUUGCUGAAACCUUGAACCUCGAUUUAGAGGUAACCCUAAUAAAACCCCUAAUUUUUUUUCUUAUAUUUUUUUGCUUGUAUUUUGAUUCUGUUGAUUGGAUAUAUAUUGGGUUUUGUAGGACCUUUAUAUUCACAUUGCUUGGCCUUUGUACCGCAAAUAUGGACAUGCCUUUGAGGUAAACAUUUUCAUCACACUCUUUCAUGGUUCCUUGAUUACAAGUGUCUGUAUAUAAGCUACUGCAUUUUGAUAGCAUAAAUUGAAAUUAAGUUAAUCUUUUUUAAUAAGCUAUCCUAGAGAGCUUAUGAAAUAAGCUAGGACAUGCCAUAAGUUUUUUCUAUAAGCUUUCCUAAGCUCUAUCAAAAUUGCUUAUAUUGGAAUAUAACCUUGAAUGAGUCUAUACAAUGAGAACUUUAUCUCAUGGACUUUGUUUGAUGCAGGCGUUCAAAAUAGUUGUGACUGAUCCUGAUACAGUUUUGAGCAGUCUUAUGCGGGAAAUUAAGGAAGUUGGUCCUGAUGGACAAGAGGUGACCAAGGUGGUACCUGCUGUUUCUGAAGAAGUGAAGGAUUCUCUAGUGAAGAACAUUAGAAGACGAAUGACUCCUCAGCCAUUGAAAAUCAGGGCGGAUAUUGAAAUGAAAUGUUUUCAGUUUGAUGGAGUUAUUCACAUUAAGGUCUUAAUCAUUUAUGUUAUGCGGUUGUUAUUUUCAUUUGAGUUAUUGGCUAUUGCUUAUCUUUUAUCGUUUUAUCAUGCUUUAUAAUUAUUUGGUUUUGCAGGAGGCAAUGCGGAAGGCUGAAGCUGCUGGAAAUGAGGACUGUCCUGUGAAAAUUAAACUUGUUGCUCCCCCACUUUAUGUGCUUACCACUCAGAUUCUUGACAAGGUUGGUGCAAUGUUCAUUUAAACUUCGGUUUCAUAAUUGCUUUUGGACUGAGUUUACUGCACAUUUGGAUUUUGAGGCUAUCAAGAUUAUGUUUAUAGAUCUAUGAAUUUUCUAGGGAUGUUUGUGUUAUUGGAUUGGAUUGUGGGGGUAUUUUCAUUGUAAAACUAGGUCAGCUGUUGUUUUUCCCUAUUAUGAUUGCCAUAAAAGCCAUUGUAAUGUUGACUACCUAAACCUUUUGUUGACUGCAAAAAGGUGAAUCAAACCGAUUCUGGUUUAUCCGGUUAUCCUGAACUGAAACAAACCAUGCGCAACUGGCUUAAAAAACAUAACCUUCUGGUUUCAACCAAAUUUUUUCUGUGUAUGAAUUUAACAUCUACUAUGAACCAAGCUGUUUCUUUGAUUCAAAAUAUAGUUUUAGAUGUUCUUGUUGAAGUUUAUGGGUUUUAAAUAAAGUAAGGAUACAUAGACUCAGGCCUAAUUAAAUAGGUUGAAUAAUGAUAUGACAUUUCAGCCUAGGGUCAUUUGGGUUCAUAGAAAAGAUUUGGGACUAUUUGCUUAAGAGUUCAAAAACUAGUUCACAAGAUUAACACCUAUGACUCCAACUAAGCUUUUAGACUCACCUUGGUUCCCAACACACUGCAAAAAGAAAAAACAACUGAACUCAUAUUUUGUCAUUUAGAACCUAGCAUAGCAGUAAUUGUAUCAGCAAGUUAUACAGUAUCAAGGAAAACUAAUGAUCUUCCUACAACUAAUUAAUGCUCUUGAGAAGAAACUCAUUGGGAUUGGGACUGCACUUUGGGAAUAAAUCCGAUUUACUACUAGUAUUCUACAUACUUAGUUCAAUCACUAGCUAGCUAUGCUAUUUGAGUUGUGGCCAACCUUGAAUGGCCAGCUUUCAUAACUCACUAUUAAAUGCUGCUGUUGAGCGUUUAUAUCAGGGAAUAGAUUAAAAAAGCUUACCCGACGGAAUGAUGAAGUCGUUUGGGUCAAGAACAAAUUUUUUGCAAGCAAGUGAAAGCAGAGUGAAGCAUCCAUUCAUAGGUUCUAGAUGAAUAGUGAGAAGUGCAAAUGAGUGCACAGACGGAUUCAGUUGGAGAUAUUAACUGUAGUCAUUAGCAUUUCAGUUUAGUGAAAUGUGCAUACAUAAAUCCAGUUCGGCUAGUGAGCUGUUUCAAAAGUUCAGUUUUUAAAGGAUAGGUUCGGUUCAUUUCCUGAUUCACUGCAGUUCUAAAUAGUUUGUUUUAACAGUCCUAAAAAAAUUCGCUCCUAAACAUGUAUUGUAAAAUUUUCUUAAUGUUACUUCUCCUUGUUUAAGCAAUUCAUAGCUUGUUACAAUCUUGACAGGAUCAAGGAACAUUGGUUCUCAACAAUGCCAUUACCUGCUGCACUGAAUCAAUAGAAAAACACAAAGCGGUGAGUGUCACAUUCUCUCUAUAUCCUUUAUCUUUUUUAUUUUUUGAAUGGUGGGAACGAGGAUUGACAUUGCAUUGUGAUUUAGGUGAGUGAACGCGAUGAUAAACUGCUUGCUGAGCAUAUGGCUAAGCUACGCCAAGACAACAAAGAGGUCAGUGGCGAUGAAGACAGUGAAGAGGAAGAAGAUACUGGAAUGGGUGCGGUUGAUGUGGACAAUGGUAAGGCUUUACUAAUUUUGUUCUAUAGUAUUCUUUUUGAUCUCUUUGAUUGUGGUUGUAUUAUACAAACUCAGAAUUUCUCGAAGAGGGCGUUCAAUCCAAACUUAGGAGUGUAUGUGGUUCAAAACGCCACCAUAACUCCCUCCCUUGUUGCUUGCAAUUUAUGAUGAGAUAUUAGUUGAACACAGUGCAUUAAUUUACUAGAGUGCCAAUGCGUAUACCUUAUGACUAAGUUGUGAUCUAUUAAAUCGGUGAGGUUCUCAUAUCGAUACCAUUUCCAUGUGUAAAGGUUGCCAUCAAACUUGGAAAAUGUUCUAGCAAUCUCACUGUUAUCUACUGUCUCAGUAUUACCGUCCAAAAAAUCGUCAUUUUAUACUUUUGGAAAGAAGGAAAAAAAAAACAUUUUCAUGCGUUCGAGUAUAAUACAUUUGUUUGGGUGAUUUAUAUGAAAUGUAGUUUUUUCUUACAGCCAUGUGAAAUGGAAUUAAGGUAUCAAUUUAAUGACACUUUUAUAAGAUGUAAAAAUGUAUUUAAUAAUUAAAAUUCGCAUCUUACAUUGAGAUAGGUAACACCUAAAGUUCUUAUGACUUCAAUUUUUGGAAAGAUAAUUGUCUUGAAAAAAGAUUAUUACCAAUCUACUAAAGAUUAUCACCAAGUUUUAUUUUAGAUUUUCAAAGUAUUUAUAAAGAUGAAGAAGGGAUGCAUUAGCCUAAAACAUAUUUUUACUUGGCUAAAAGUUUUUUUUAUUAAUCUAAAGUAAAAUUUAAAUAUUAUAUUUGAUUAUAUUAAUCAAUAAAUCAAAUUUUUGUUAUUAAUCAAUAAAUCAUAUUUUUAAUUAUUAUUUUAUCUUGAGUAUGAUACAAUAGCCAGUUUUUGUAAAAAAAUGGUUGUUAAAAAGUCUUUUUAUUUUAUAAAAAUAUUUAAAGAUGACCAACUUUGUAAAUAAUAAAUGUUUUCCUCUUAAAAAUAAUAUAUAAAAGAUUAUAAAAUAAAAUAAAAUAAUAAUAAUAAAGCAUUUAUGUAAAAAAAAACUUUAUAAUUAGUGGAUCAAAAUCAAAUAGAUUGAAUUGAAUUAGUUAAGAAUUAUAUUUUGCGGCAAUUGAAUAAAUUGUGAAUAAGUGGAUGAAAUUGGUAGUAGUAAAUAUAUUAUAGAAGUGCAGAAAAGUUAAGAUCUACAUAAUAUAUGAAAUAUAUUAGAGUAUAUUUUUGGUGGCUAUGGCUCCUUAUGAGAGUAUUUUCCAACAUAGUGGCAGCCAUGCAUAAUAGUUUAAUCUAAUGUAUUUGUGUUACCUUGAACAAUUCCCAUUACUGUAACCUUCUGCCUUUUCUAACUAACACAAACUCACUGAGAUCCUAAGAUUUUCAAUCCUUUAAUCAAAUCAAGAAUGUCAAAUUUAGUUGAAUCUCUCCUCAAAGAAAGAAAGUAUCCAUUCAUUUUCACCUUCUCUGCCUUACUUAUUUGGUUCAUGAUCCUCCUCUACGCCAACACCACCACCUUCACAACCUCUGAUCCAAAAGCCUUCUACCCUGAUGUCAAAGUGCAGCAACCACUCGACCAACAUCAAUUUAGAAUUAACGUUUAAGAUGUGACCCAAACAUAUUUAAAAUAAGAAAUAGACUAAUUGAGUAUUUUUAUUUGGUUUGAUAUGAAAAUUUAUUUUAUUUCGGAAAUUUCUCCACAAUAUGGAUAUUCAAUUUAAACUAUUUUGACACAAAUCCGGUUUUAUAAAUAUGGGUAUGAAUUUUAGACCCAUAUCCGAUCCUAGAAUAGGAAGGUCGACUGGACUCGAUCCUACCCUAGAAUAGGAAGGUCGACUCGACCCGACCCGACCCAUGAAAAGAAAAUCGGUUAUUAACGAAAUGAUGUCCCCGUUAAGUUAACUUUUUUUUUUCUGCCGGUUUCCACUUGAGUGAGAAAACGAGGAACCAUUACAUGAGAGUCUAAUUACUUUUUCGGUUUUGCAGAUACAAAUUUCAAGCGUGUAGGGAAAAUGAAAAUCGCGAAAACGGCGAUUCUUGUUCUACUAAUAUCGUUCCUUUCAGUUUUGCACUUCUCAAACGCUGAAGAAGAAGCUUUUGAUGUUCGCAAACAUCUCUCUACUGUAUCCAGGUUUUUCUCUUUCAUUCCCCUAAUCAUAAUCAACCAAAAUCCUUCGUUUUUCCUUUAUUCUGCUUCCUCAUUUUUGUUGCCUUUGAUUUUGACGAGACUUCUAUAUGCAUUUGUGAUUGCGUGUGUGCUUGAUCAAUUUUUUGAAACUUAAUUGAGAUUGAUGAAAUUGCGCGUGUUAAUUUUCUGCUUAGGUACGGAGUUGUGAAAGACAUUACUGACAAGAACUUCAUUCCUUCUAAAAUUCCUGAAGGAUGCACUCCAAUACAUUUAAAUCUAGUGGUAAUUUUCUUACCAGUUUAGGGUUUAAUUAUUUCAUUAGUUAUGAAUGAUGUUCUACUUUUACCACACAUUUACGCUUGUUUUUGUAAUUUUCACAUAAAUUCCGUAUAUUUUAUAUUUCUAUGCAGCGUGUUCAAGAGUAUGAUAAUUGAUAAUGCUAUGUUACAUUGCCAGGCAAGGCAUGGGACCCGUUCUCCUACAAAGAAAAGAAUAAAGCAGUUGGACAAUUUGUCAGCCCAUUUGGAAGUUCUUAUAAAGGAUGCAAAAGAGAAACAUUUGUCUUUGGAGAGAAUUCCUACUUGGUUGAAUGGAUGGAAAUCUCCUUGGCAAGGAAAGCUUAAGGGCGGUGAGUUAAUUAGAAGAGGAGAGGAAGAAUUAUAUGCUCUUGGAAUCAGGGUUAGAGAUAGGUUUCCAAGUUUGUUUGAUGAGGAUUACCAUCCAGACAUAUAUCCUAUAAAGGCAACUCAGGUGAGUUCAUCUUCAUUUUUAUCUUUAGGUAGAUUUGUUCUUUUGAAGUUUCUGGUAAUCUCAACGUACGAUAGUGUCACUAAUAGUUUUGGGAGAGUUAGAACACAUUGUUUUGAAUUAAUAAAUGAAUGCUAAUACAUCAUGAUUAGUUGUAGUGCCACUGUAACACUGAGAGUCUAAGACAUGAAUUUUCCUUUUGAUAUUUCAAAAACUUAGAGAUAGGUUUCCAAGUUUGUUUGAUGAGGAUUACCAUCCAGACAUAUAUUCUAUAAAGGCAACUCAGGUGAGUUCAUCUUCAUUUUUAUCUUUAGGUAGAUUUGUUCUUUUGAAGUUUCUGGUAAUCUCAACGUACGUUAGUGUCACUAAUAGUUUUGGGAGAGUUAGAACACAUUGUUUUGAAUUAAUAAAUGAAUGCUAAUACAUCAUGAUUAGUUGCAGUGCCACUGCAACACUGAGAGUCUAAGACAUGAAUUUUCCUUUUUGAUAUUCAAAAACUUAUGCAUCUCUCUUAUGUGUGCAAAAUAGAUUCCCCGAGCAUCAGCUAGUGCUGUCGCAUUUGGAAUGGGUUUUUCAGUGGCAAUGGAACUCUUGGACCUGGGGAGCACAGAGCCUUUUCUGUUAUAAGUGAAAACCGUGCUAGUGACACCAUGCUGAGAUUUCAUGAAUGUUGUCCAAAACUACAAGGUAAUGCUGUAGCAAUUAUUAAUUUCUCAGUAGGAUUUCUAAUGCAAAAGUUUCAUGUUAUCUGACACAAUUACAUACAGUAAUCUGAUUAUAGAUUAGCCAAUUUCAUGCAUUUAAUGUAUUUAAUUAUGCUUUCUAUGCAUUAUUGUUAUAUACAGUCACCCAAGCUGCAUUGCACUUUUUCUGCUGGGCGUAUAUUUUAGACCAUUUUUGAUGGCCAAUCAGGAAAAUCAUGUUUUUGUGUUCCUUUCAGCGAUAAAUUUGCUUAUAUUUUUCUGUUAUGUGCUUUCUGCUUACAGUUUUGUCCCGUUACACCGUUCCUACGGAGAUUAACAAAUUUAGUUGAAAUCACUAUAUUUGUCUAAUGUAGGCCUUCAUAUGUUGAAUAUGAAAGCAAUUUUGUGUUUAAAGAGGCUAUACUUAAAAUAUUCAUACAUAUGUUAUCUCUGUUUAUCUAAAUUGUAUAUUUUGUGAUCUUCGGUAGUCUUAAAGGUAUUGAAUGUUUUGUAACAAAAAAAGUAGUCUCUAGUUUUUUUCCUGACUUUUUUUUUAUGGUUAUAUGAUUUUUUUUUUAUGAGAGCAGGAUUUCAGGAAAAGGCAGGAGCCCGCAGUUGAUAAACUUAAGGAACCUACCUUGGAUGAGAUUACAUCUGCAUUAGUUGGGCGUUAUGGACUGAAUUUUACAAGGCAGGUUACAGCAUCUCUUUGGUUCUUAUGUAAAGAGGUGACACCAUUUCUUUAUUCCCAACUUCUUCUGAUUUUCCCUAUGUUUUUCUUUUAAGUUCAGACAUAAUCAUUUACUUGUGUCUUGGAUGUUAGUUAUUUUUGUUUUUCUGUUUCCAAUUGUUCGUUUUGUGGUUAUUUUGGCAGGAAGCAUCCUUGUUGGAUAUAACUGAUCAAGCUUGUAGUCUUUUCAGCCCAUCUGAGGUACUUUGUACUUUUAUGGUCAAGAUGUUGUGAUUUGAUAUUUGAUCUAACCUUUGACUUUUUCCUUUUUAUUUGCUUGGAAAUAUUUAAAUAUAGUAAAAGUUAAAAGAUGUCAGACCAUCAUUUAAUUUUGACGUUAUGAUAUACAAGAACCAAGUUUUGACUCCUUGAUAUGAUAUUUCUAUAAUAUGUCAAUUGACCUCAAAGAAACUGAAUAUGACGUUUUUCAUGCUGUGAAUGCCAAGGAAGUUACUAUUGAUGAGUGUAUUCAAAAAACUCGUUUAGCUCCCGCACAUAUAAUCAAGAUCUGUGGCUGAGUUUUUCUCCAAUACAAUUGCAUGUAUGCUUAUAAAAUGUUAAAUUUUGUGUAUAUAGAUUACAUUGCUGGAGUGGACAGAUGACUUAGAAAUGUACAUUCUGAAGGGUUAUGGUAAAUCAAUAAAUUAUAGAAUGGGGAUGCCAUUACUUGAAGAUGUUGUUCAAUCCAUGGAGCAAGCUAUCAUGGCUAAAGAAGGUAGUUUAGCAUUUUUAGUAUUGAGGUUCUUGCAUGUCAUAUCAUUUUCUUAGAAUUUGGAUUGGGCCUAACUCAAUCUUACAUAACCGAUUUGUAAGAUGAAGAUUGGUCUCACUUAUAAACAGAUUUCCAAGUCAUAUCCCAUCCGAUGUGUGAUUCUUUAACACACACCCUCACACCCAGUACUAUUGAACUUGGUGCGUACAUAUAAAUGGUGGGUAGUGGAAACCUGAUAGCAGGUGUCCCAACGGAUCUCAGAGUCUCUGAUACCAUUUUCAUAAUUGCACCGUGCCUCUUUUCUGCUCCAUGCUCCUCCUCCUCCUUCCCACGACCUCAAGUUUGUUUGCAAAAGGCCAACCGGGAAGCAAUAACCCUACCACAAUCAUCUCUAUACUAUUGUGUUUUUCUUCAUUCACCAAGCCACCGAAAGCUUUUCUGGACUCUCUUUCUCCGCAGUACCAUGGCUCUCGCUACCGAGGGCGCAACGAAUUCUGUGGAGGCGUGGCCUUUAGCUUUCUGAUGGAUAAAGAUAAUUAAGAGAUGUCGCGUUAGAGUAACCGAUGUCGUUCUGGUAGAUAAUCUUGGUCGUGUUCCAUACCUGGUGGAUUAUAUGAUCCUGCUUUUGGUCCUCUUGUGGAUAGGUUUCCUUGUAAAACCUGUGGUCUUGCCCAAAGAUCACUACUCAGGUCAUUUUGGUCAUAUCGAGCUUGUUGCACCUGUCUACAACCCUUUGAUAUUCACAUUUCUUGGCAAUAUUAUAAAGAAAACAUGUUUCUCUUGCCAUCAUUUUAAGGCCUAGUAGAAACGAGGUGGGAGAGCUUGUGUCCUAAUUGAAGUUAAUUAUGGAUGGGAAUGUUAGCAAGGCCAAAAGUUUGGAUGAAAUUGAAUUAGAUGGACCUCUAGAUUCAGGCGAUGGUGAUGUUGAUGAUGAAAACCAAUGUAGUAGAAUCGAGCAACCGGUAGAAAAUUGGACAUCCCUUCAAUUUUCCGAGGCAAUGUCCGUUCUAAGAACAUUUCUACAUAAGGAUUACAGGAAGUGUCAAAAUUGUGGAAACGUCAGUCCUAAAAUUACUAAUCCAAAGUUUCACGUGAAAGCUCUCUCAGCUUCUCAAGCUAGAGCAAAUGCAGCGAUGCAUCCUUGACAAGUGAAAUAAUUAAUGAUGAAAUAUCUUUAGGAAGUGUGGAUAAUGAAAGUCGAAUAUUGUCUAAUAAGUUUGUUGGACUUUCCGUCUUAAUUGCGGUCCACCCCUAGUCGCCUUAACUGCGGCACUUUGGCUUGCCUCAUUGCAGCCCCUAACACCUUCGUUGUGUUAACUCUGAAGGGGUGAAUUUAGUCCCACAUUACCAAGAGAUAUAUGGUCUGUGUUGUGUUUAUAAGUGGGGGCAAUCCUCAUCUUACAAGUCAGUUUUUUAGGGAUGAGUUAGGCCCAACCCAAAUUCUGAGAUGGUAUUAGAGCCUAUCCUAGAUCCACUGUUGGGCUUCCCGCAUCGUCCACGCUUCAGGCUCAUUGAAGCCCAAGCGAGAGGGGGUGUGUUGGACUUUCCGCCUUAAUUACGGUCCUCCCCUAGUCGUCUUAAUUGUGGCAUUUUGGCUUGCCUCAUUGCAUCCCCUAACACCUUCAUUGUGUUAGCUUUGAAGGGGUGGAUUUAGUACCACAUUGCUAAGAGAUAUGGUAUGUGUUGUGUUUAUAAGUGGGGGGAAUCCUCACCUUACAAGUCGAUUUUGUAGGGAUGAGUUGGACCCAUCCCAAAUUCUGAGAAAGUUUAUUGAGCAAACUUCACUUUUUGGGUCUUUGCUACCCUCCCUAUUUAGGGAAUUCUAGAGCUUUUGUGGAAAAGUGAAGCUAAGCUGUGCUCGUAUAUCAGUGACCUUCAAAAUCAAGGUUUUGGAAAGAAAGUCGGUCACUCGAUGUUCUUUUUGGAAAACAUUUUCGUUGCACCAAUCAAAUUUUGCCCCACAAUGAAAGCAGGUGAUAAUUCGACAGAUCAUCCUCAAACUGUUAUGUUGAGUAAGGUUUUAGAGUCCAACAUAUCCUUGGGACAAGCCCAUCUAAACACGUCAGAUGCAUCAAUCAUCUUUGUUGAAAUACAAGAGACUAAGACAUUUGAAUAAACCGUGUGUUUUGAAAAGCACUACGGAGACUUUAUUAUAUAUAGAGAGAUUAUAACUAAUUACAUGAUAUAGUCGAUGUGAGAUUAUUCGAUAUACAAAUAUUCUUAAUACUAUAUUUACAAAUAUCAAUACUCCCCCUCAAGUUUGAGCAUAUAAGUCAAACGCACCAAGCUUGUUACAUAUAUAAUUAGUUUUGGGACUUCGUAGAGAUUUUGUAAACACGUCUGCCAAUUGAUCAUUAGAGUUGACAAAGUUUGUGACGAUGUCACCUGAUUCAAUUUUCUCUCUGAUAAAGUGACAGUCUAUCUCAAUAUGUUUGGUCCUCUCAUGGAAGACUGGAUUUGAAGCAAUGUGCAAUGCGGCUUGAUUAUCACAAAUAAGUGUCAUUGGUCUUGCUUCUUCAAUUUGAAGUUCCUUGAGCAACUGUUUUAACCAAAUAAGUUCACAUGUUGCCAUUGCCAUGGCCCUAUACUCUGCCUCGGCGCUUGAUCUUGCAACUACGUUUUGUUUCUUACUUUUCCAGGAUAUAAGGUUGCCUCCAACAAGUACACAAUACCUAGAGGUGGAUCGUCUAUCAAUGGGUGACCCUGCCCAAUCAGCAUCGGAGUAUCCAACUAUCUGAGUAUGUCCUUUAUUUUCAUACACUAGACCUUUUCCUGGAGCACAUUUGAUGUAUCUCAGAAUCCGGAUAACAUCAUCCAUGUGUUCCUGACAAGGGGAGUUUAAGAACUGACUUACGACACUAAUUGCAAAAGAAAUGUCCGGACGAGUGACUGUGAGAUAAUUCAACUUUCCAAUCAAUCUUCUAUACCUUCCUGAGUCAGAUAAAGGCUCCCCCUGAUUGGGUAGUAGUUUGACACUUGGAUCCAUAGGAGUAUCAGCUGGUUUAACAUUCAACAAACCAUCUUUAGAUUGAGCUACCUCAAUACCCAAGAAAUAACGAAGUUUACCAAGAUCUUUUGUCUGAAAUUGAUUCGAGAGAUGUUGCUUUAACUGGAAUAUACCCUGUUGAUCACUACCAGUUAUGACAAUAUCAUCUACGUACACAAUAAGAUAAAUACACCCUUGGGCUGAGUGACGAUAAAAAACAGAAUGAUUAGCUUCACUACGGAUCAUACCAAACUGUUGUACUACAGUGCUGAAUCUGCCGAACCAAGCUCUCGGAGAUUGCUUAAGACCAUAAAGAGACCUGUGUAACCUACACACCAUAUUCGAUGACUCCCCCUAAGCAACAAAUCCAGGUGGUUGUUCCAUAUAUACUUCCUCUUCAAGAUCACCAUGUAAAAAAGCAUUUUUGAUGUCAAGUUGAUGAAGAGGCCAAUGUCGAAUGGCUGCAAUGGCUAGAAGAAGUCUAACAGAUGUCAUCUUGGCUACAGGCGAGAAGAUAUCAUUAUAAUCCAAUCCAAAAAUCUGAGUGUAUCCUUUGGCUACCAAACGAGCUUUAAAUUGAUCAAUUUUACCAUCUGGACCAACCUUCACUGUAUAAAGCCAACGACAACCUACUAAAGAUUUCCCAUGGGGUAGAGGAACCAGUUCCCAGGUACCAUAGCUUUGAAGAGCACACAUUUCAUCAAUCAUUGCUUGCCUCCACUCAGGGUGAGAUAAUGCUUCACCUGGAGUUUUAGGAAUAGAAACAGAAGACAAAGAAGACAAACAAGUAUACUGCAAAGGGGAAUGCACACAUUUCAUCAAUCAUUGCUUGCCUCCACUCAGGGUGAGAUAAUGCUUCACCUGGAGUUUUAGGAAUAGAAACAGAAGACAAAGAAGACAAACAAGUAUACUGCAAAGGGGAAAGACGAUGAUCGGAAGAUCGGACUCAGGUUGCAGGAUCAGAUCUGGUGAUGACGGAGGCGUCGGAGGAGAGUUUUCAAUGACCUCAGGGACAGGUAUGACUUCAGGGACAAGGACGACAAGCGUUGGGUAGCGUUGGGUGACGACGCUGAUAUGUUUGAAGUGGUCGAGAAGUGGGUGGGUCAGGAGCCCUAGACUGAUGGGGGAUAAUGAUAGACGGGACAUUAAUAACUGUCGGAAAAGGUGUGGGAGUACUUUCUUGAAUGGGUUAUGGAGUUACGUGACUGGAUUCGAAAUAUGGAACCGACUCGAAGAAGGUAACAUCGGCCGAUACUAGGUAUCGUUGUAAAGUAUGUGAAUAACAACAAUAACCUUUUUGGGAUCGAUGAUAACCAAGAAAAACACACUUUAGUGAUCGAGCUGAGAGUUUAUCAAGACCAGGAGAGAGAUUGUGUACAAAACAUGUGGACCCGAAGACUUGAGGAGGAAUGGGGUGAAGUGGGGAAUUGGGAAAAAGGAUUGAAUGAGGGAUUUUAUUAUUAAGGACAGAUGAGGGCAUGCGAUUUAUAAGGUAACAUGCCGUUAGCACAGCAUCCCCCCAAAACCGAAGUGGAACAUUACUAUGGAGAAGUAGGGUCCGAGUGGUUUCUACAAGAUGCCGAUUUUUGCGUUCGACUACCCCGUUUUGUUGAGGUGUGUGAGGGCAAGAUGUUUGAUGGAGAAUACCAUUGCGUGACAUAAAAUUCUGAAAUUGUUGGGAUAAAUAUUCACGAGCAUUGUCACUUCUUAAGGUACGGAUAGACACACCGAAUUGAGUUCUUAUUUCUUGAUAGAAUUGUUCAAAAAUAGAAAAUAAUUCAGACUUAUUCUUCAUUAAAAAUAACCACGUGCAACGUGAAAUGGAUAGUGAGUGGAGAAUCUUUGGCUGAGCAUGUCUGAGAUGACACUGAGAGGUAAUAAAGGCCUUGAGACUCACAUCCGACACCAAUCGUCCGUCCCGAACUCCGAUCCUGCAGGGUAACAUUAUUGAGUGAAGGUGACACUACAAUCAAGAGAACGAGUUAAACGACUGACUGAAAGUAAAUUAAAUGGACAAUUAGGUACAUAGAGGACAUAAUUAACCGAGAGAGAAGGUAGAAUUUGAACAGCACCAAUCCCUUCAGAUCGGGUUUGAGAACCAUUGGCAGAAGUUAUAGUAGGUAAGAAACCGGAUGUAGAGAGGGAAGAGAAAAGAUUUUUAUUAUCGGUAACAUGAUCAGACGCACCAGAAUCAAGGAUCCAAGAUGAUUGAGAAAGACAAGCAGAUGAGUUACCGGUGUGUGCUAUCGAAGCAGUAGAAUCCAAGUUCUGAUAAUUCUGAUACCACCUGAGGAAAUUAUCGUAGUUUGGCGUAAAGUUAUGAGGAGUAGCCAUGAGUAUCGGAUCUGAAACAAUUGCCCUAUGGAGAGUGGAGCGGUGGGAAAAUUGUCGGGAUCGAUCGUCGGAGGUGCUGUCAUGUGCAGAGGUUUCUGCCGAUGAAAAGUGGGGAGCGGCUGGAUCGGAAGAGGCGCUUUUGCUGGUAGGUUACCGGAGAAUUUUGAAAAGUGAGAGGCAAACCGGAGUGAUGACACGGUUUGCAAAAAAAAAGAAUUCACCGGAAGACAGUGGGUCAACCGGAUAAAGCACGGCGAAGAAAGAAUUGCCUCUUAGCAGGCUCUAGAUACCAUGUUGAAAUACAAGAGACUACGAGACAUACAUUUGAAUAAACCGUGUUUUGAAAAACACUACGGAGACUUUAUUAUAUAUAGAGAGAUUAUAACUAAUUACAUGAUAUAGUCGAUGUGGGACUAUUCGAUAUACAAAUAUUCUUAAUACUAUAUUUACAAAUAUCAACAAUCUUAGACGGUGGAUGGAUCUUCAAAGAUCUGUAAACCUCUUAUUUGACAACACAUCUGCUUCCAAAAGCCAAAAAGCCGUGAUUACUGGAAUAUGUCAAUUGCUGGAAAAGAAGGAAGGCAUCUUUCGCCAGAAAAUGAUGAGAAAGAGGGUUAAUUUUGCAUGCCGCUCUGUCAUAUCACCAGAUCCUUAUUUAGCAGUCAAUGAAAUUGGGAUUCCCCCAUAUUUUGCUCUAAGGUUAAUAUAUCCUGAGAGUUACUCCUUGGAAUGUAGUCAAGUUACUCUAUGCUGAUAAAACAUCAACACUCAUGCUUCCACUAGAGAGGAGGUUACGUUCUUUUACAUCAAGGAAAUUACAAUCGUCAAGAGGGGAGAUACGUCACCAUGAAUUUGAAGGAAAAGUUGUGCAUCGUCACUAGAAGGAUGGCGAUGUAGUGCUUGUCAAUCUACAGCCAACACUUCAUAAGCCUAAUAUAAUGCUACAUGCAGUCCGUGUUCUAAAGGGGGAGAAAACAAUUUGCAUGCAUUAUGCAAACUGCAGUACAUACAAUGCCGAUUUUGAUGGUGAUGAGAUUAAUGUUAAUUUUCCACAUGAAGAAAUUUCAGGCGCUGAAGCUUACAUCUUGUAAAUGCCAACAACCAAUAUGUGAAGCCUACAAGUGGUGAUCCAAUCAGAGCCUUGAUUCAGGAUCAUAUUGUAAGUGCUGAUCUUCUCACAAAAAAAAAGAUACCUUUUUGAGCUGUGACGAGUUCAAUCAACUUCUCUACAGUUCUGGUGUAUCCAUGACUGCGUCAGGCUUUGUCACUUGUAAACCAGGUCAGAAAAUAUUCAUGUCAAACUCCGAGAGUGAAAUGUUUCAGUUUCCUCCACCAAUAUUCAAGCCAGAGCCACUGUGGACAGGGAAACAGGUUAUCAAUCAUUGCUAUGCUAUAGCACUAAAGGUUGCCCACCAUUUACUGUUGAGAAGAAUGCGAAAAUCUCAAUCUAGUUUUUUUAAGACUCAAAUGAGGAGGGAAAAAACACACUAAAGAUACCUCAAGAAAAAGGGAUAAGAAUGAGGAUAAAUUGUUGAUAUAUAAAAGUGAUUUGGUGCGUGGUGUAGUUGACAAGGCUCAAUUUGGUGAGUAUGGAAUGGUGCAUACAGUGCAAGAGUUUUAUGGCUCAAAUACUGCUGGCAUUCUUCUGUCAGCAUUAAGUUGGCUAUUCACCAACUUUUUACAGAUGCACGGGUUCACAUGUGGGGUUGAUGAUCUUCUGAUAACAGAAGGAAAGGAUAGUGAAAGAAUAAAUCAACUUGGUGACAUUGUGACAUUGUUCAUCGUGAAUUCAUUGGAGUCAUGGAAAGUGAUAAUAUUGAUCCAAUCACAACGCGGUUGAAUGUUGAGAAAAAAAUACGCAGUAAUGGAGAAGCAGCCUUAACAUACUUAAAUAGGAAGAUGAUAAGUAAUCUUAACUCCAGAACUAGCUCAGUAAUGGAUUUCUCUUAUGACUACAUCUGGAGCUAAGGGAAGUAUGGUCAACUUCUAGCAUAUAUCUUCUCAUCUUGGCCAGCAAGAGUUGGAAGGAAAACGAGUCCCACGUAUGGUUUCUGGCAAGACCUUACUGUGCUUUCUAUCAUGGGAUUGUUCCCCCAGGGCAGGAGGGUUAAUUAUUGAUCGGUUUCUUACUGCUCUUCAUCCACAGGAAUAUUACUUUCAUUGUAUGGCUGGUCGAGAAGGAACAAAGAAUUGGUUUACAGCAACUGUUGCCGUCAGCUAGGUAGAUCCAGUCCUUAUAUUAACAAGUUGCCUGAUGCUCUUAAAGGAAAAGCAGAAAACUUCAUUCGUGAUUUCUCUUCAAAACAGAGAAAUUUCAGUUCAUUGAAACAUGAAGAUUUUCUACAAUUGAUGGAGCACAAGUACGUCUCAAGUCUUGCUCAACCAGGUGAACCAGUUGGUGUGUUAGCUUCUCAGUCUGGAAGAACCAGCAACACAAAUGACUUUGAAUACUUUCUAUCUUGCUAGUCGAGGUGAAAUGAAUGUGAUUCUUGGAAUUCCUCGUUUGCACGAAAUUGUGGUGGCAGCCUUAGAUAGCAUCAAGUCUCCCUUUACGUCAUGCCCCCUGAGAUCCAAUAAAUUAUGGAAAAUGCUAUCUGCCUUGCAGACAAAAUGAAAAAGAUAACUAUAGCUGACAUAACCUAUGAAGCACGGAUUCCGACACGGACACCGGGACACGACACGGACACCGUUAAUGUCCAAACAUAGGACACUGACACCGCUAUAUAUAAGAGAGUAUUUCAGAUUUAUUUAGCCAUCUAUGAUAAAAAAGUUGAAAAUAUUCUAAUUAAAAUUAAAAUUUUUAAUUCUUUAUUGAUAACAUUGCUUAAAUACGCGUUUAACAAAUUUAAAUUUGUAUGAGAUUUGUCCAAAAUAUGUAUAAACGUGUGUUGAAGCAAAGAAAAAAACAAAUUUUUGUUUGAAACAUUUGUCUGAAUUGUGUGACAUGUGUUAUGAGUGUCAUACGAGUGUCAACCAUUGAUUUAAAGAGUGUUGAAACAAAGAAAAAACUCAUUUUUUAGUGGACACUUGUCUGACUUUCUGACACUUCUUUGACUUUUUCGACAUGUGUCGUACGGGUGCCAUACAAGUGUCGGACACUGUGACACGCCUACUCGUAGAGGUGUCCGUGCUUCAAAGGACAUAACUUAAAAUAUGAAAGUUUCUGUUGUACCCAAUGCCAUAAAAGACCAACACAUUUGCAGUAUAUAUAAGCUUACGAUGAAACUGCAUAAACCUAAACACUAUCCAAAAUACACUGAUAUUACACUUGAAGACCGGGAGGAAACUCUAAGAGUUAGCUUUGUGAGGGAAUUGGAGGAUGCGAUUGAAAGUUACAUUAAAAUAUUUCCAAGGCAAAAGUGGUCUAGAAAAUGAUCAUAGCAAUGAUUCAGAAUCUAACAAAAAUGGUCAAACUGACGAUGACGGUGAUGGUGAUACUGAUGCUACAGAGGAUGCUACAGAGGAUGCUGAUGAUCUUGGUUAAAAGAGUAAACAGCAAGCUAUGGAUGAGGUUGAUUACGAUGAUGGUCUUGAAGAGGAAACAUGCGAGAUGGUAUUAGAGCCUAUCCUAGAUCCGUUGUUGGGCUUUUCACAUCGUCCACGCUUCGGGCUCAUUGAGGCCCAAGCGUGAGGGUGUGUUGGAAUUUCUGCCUUCAUUGUGGUCUGCCCCUAGUCGCCUUAAUUGCGGCAUUUGUCUUGCCUUAAUUGCAGCCUCCAACAUCUUCAUUGUGUUGGAUUUGAAGGGGUGAAUUUAGUCCCACAUUAUUUAGAGAUAUGGUCAGUGUUGUGUUUAUAAGGGGGGACAAUCCUCACCUUACGAGCCGGUUUUGUAGGGAUGAGUUAGGUCCAACCAAAUUCUGAGAAGAAUAAAGAGAGGUAAAGGAGAAUCCUGGUUCAGAGAGGAUGUAGAAGGAGAAGAGGAAGAGAGGAGGGGGAGAGGAAUCCAAGAAGGUUUUACACAUUUUUUUUAAGAAUCGAGUCCCUGGGCACUCUUCUCACACCGACUGAUAGAAUUUACUUUCCUGCCUUCCCUUGCUGGUUUAGCUCCAUAUGUUAAUCAUUUGUUUUGCUGAACCAUUUAUCCUUUGUCACUAUUGGUAUGUAACAUUUUGUCAAUGUUAUGGGUUGAAAUCCUAGUUAAUUCAGAAUUAGUAAGUAGAGUUAGUAUUACUUCACUAUUGAUUGUUUUUCCUUUUGGAGGCUGUAUCUUGAAUAAGGGGCAUUGUGAACCAUUCUCUCAUUUCAACUUUCUUUAUUGCUUCUGUAGAAAAACAUGUGCCUGGCAGCUUUGAAAAAGCAAGACUUCGGUUUGCACAUGCUGAAACUGUAGUCCCAUUCUCAUGUCUGCUUGGUUUAUUUCUUGAAGGGUCUGGUAAGGCUUUUAUAGUAUAUUCGUGAAUAAAUUUUUAUCAAUUUCUAUUUUGGUUUCAUUGCAAAGUAGUGGUAGAGUAUGUUUAUGAUUAUAAUUAUUCUCUUUCAACAGAGUUUGACACAAUCCAGAAGGAGAUACCUUUGGCAUUUCCUCCAAAGCCUCCACAGAAAAGAAAAUGGAGGGGUAGCAUUGUGGCUCCUUUUGCUGGUAACAACAUGCUGGUCCUGUAUAGAUGUCCUGCGCCAGACAAAGCUAGAAGCAAGCACUUUGUGCAAGUGCUGCACAAUGAACACCCCAUUCCAAUGCCGGUAAGCUUUUGGUUUCUUAUGAAGUCUAUGAAUGUGGUUCAGAGGUUGUUGAGUUUUACUCUUGAUUGUUUAAACCUGUAUUAUGUCGUUGUGCAUCAAUAACACAAUUUUGUGGUGCUAUUGUGGCUACAGGGUUGUAAUGGUUCUGAUUUCUGUCCAUUUGAAGUAUUCAAGGUGACACUAUGAUCCCACUCUAUUACACAAAAUGAUCAGUGUGCAAGAUUAAUUUGGUAACAUUUUUUUAAUCUACCACUAAUUUUAUUACCGAUUUUUCAUCACAGGAAAAAAUAGUUGCUCCUCAUCGGAAGCAUGACUACGAUACAGUCUGUAAUGCAAAGCUAGAGCAGAAGCCCUCGGGCAGCAAGAUAUUCCAAAUACUUCAGUGGUUUUUUCAACUAGGGAAAGGUGACAAGUACCCCAAAGAUGAAUUUUAGUUUGUUUUCUGGAAAGGAGUCUGAGAUCAAUUCUCAAGUCCUUUUUUGGCAGUACCACUAAACAAAUUUCAGGCAAAGCACGAUUUCCUUCUAGCAGAGUACAUCGAUUUGAAUGCCUAUGCAAGAAUGCCUUUGGUAUCUUAAGUUUGGUGUUCAAGCCACCCCGUAGCCUUUGGUAUCUUAAGUUUGGUGUUCAAGCCACCCCGUUCUGUAGCUUUUAACCCCGGAGAGUUUUGGAUAUGGAAUGAAGAGUUCUAGAUAUUAGUUUCAUUUUCUCCGCGAGAGUCUUAAUCUCAGCACUUUACACAUGUGAUGUAGGUUAAUGUUUCAUGUUUCACACUUUUGCCAUUUCAGUUUUUUUUCUUUCCCUUUUGGUAUAGUGGAUAUUAAUUAAAGUGGCGAUCUUCUGAUUUCUUGUAAUGAUCCAACUUUUGUUUGUUUGUUGAAUGAUUGUGUAGCAGUUUUAGAUGAAUGAUGAUAUCAUUUGAGAAAUCAUGUAAAGCCAUUGCUUUUGAAACGGCUAAAUUGAAGUGUUUAUUUUACGUGUGCUACUGAAUUUGUAAUUAGCUCACAAUCUCUCUAGUCACUUAAUUUAGGAAAAUUGGGACUACUAUUGUUAUUAGGAAAAGAAGAACGGAACAAAAUAACAUUAUAUUUUGGAAAAACAAAGACGGAAUAGGAUGCGUAUGAAAGUAUAUUUUUAAAUUUAUGAAAAAUAAUUUUAAAUUUUAAAAGGGUAACAAUCCCUAAUACUUAGAAUAUAAUAUUGUGAAAUAAACUAAUAAAAUCAAUGUAUCAAAAACAAAUAAAGCAAUAAAAAAAUGAUAACUUUAAAUAUUAAAAAUAAAAAACUUACAACCAUUGUUUUUCUUUUUGUCUCUUUAAAUUCAAAGUUUUCUUUUUAAAUUUUAUUUGAUAAGAUGGCUCAUAAAGAAUAUUAUGCUUCAUAUUCUAGAACAUAGUAUGUAUUUUCUUCUUUCUCUCUUUCUCUUUCUCUCUCAUCACAUUUCACUCUUUUUGACCUCUAAGAAUCAUAUUUUCAUUCUCAUCUUUACUUCCCACUAUCCCCUUUCCUCUUCGACUUCUUUUACCAUUUUAUUCCCAUUAAAAUUUAGUUUACUUUAACUAAAUAAAUUUAAUUAGCUUAUUAUUAUUAUUAAUAAUAAAAUAAUAAAUAUAUAUUUUUAUUUUUAUUUUUAGUUGAUAACAAUAAUAAUAUUAAUAAUAAUAAUAACAAUAAAAAUAAUAAUAAAGAUAAUAAAAUCAUAAAAAUAUAAUAAAAUUGAAAUAAUAAUAUUAAUAUUAUUUUAAUUAUUUUUAGGGUGUUACAUGUCUCCUUGGGCAAGCCUCCGUGCCAUGGACACCACCUCAUAGAGUAUCCAACAUAUGACAUAUGUCAUCCUAUCUGGGGUAUCUUACAAUUAUAUCACUAUAAAAAGAUACACAUAUUUUUCAUACAUCACUUUACCCUUUUUUAGAUUUAUUAGCUAACUUCGGUGGGCUAACCUUGCAAAAUAAAGUAUUUAUUAAAUAAAUUAUUUUAGACCGUUGUAUUUGAUUUAGAACUAAAAUUAUUAGUUGGACUUUUCAUUAUUGUUUAGUUGACCUUUUAGUGUUUAAGUCUUUUAUUUGACUAUCCGUUAAUAAUAUUAUAUAAUAAAGUAGUGCCUUGACGAAUUUUAGGAUAUCAAAUGAAUGUAAUUUUUUUUAAUUAGUGUUUUAAACUAAAACGAAAAAUAGUUGAAGAUCAAAUGGAAUAAAGUUUUUAUGCGAUAGAGUGAGCUUCUAGUACAGUAGAGUGAAAGUAAGACUCAAACAUAUAUGAAUGAGAAAGUAAUAUGAAUGAGAGAAUACUUGAUAUGAUAAGUGUUGAAUUUUAUAUAGUGUGAGUUGUUAAAACAUAUAUGUGAUAUUCGGCACCUCAUAUGAGAGUUAUCUUUCGAUUAAAUGUAAUGACGAAAAUAUGCUAAAGGUGGAAUCAUGUGUCGUCAGUUGGGGUGAGGUCUUAUAUGUUGUAUAUGUCUUUUCGUGUAAUAGUUGCUGCUGGAAUUUCUAUCUUUUGACGAACGGUCAAGAAUAAUAAAUUAUGUUUGGUUAGUUUGUUUUUUCUCUUAAUUUUAUUUAUUAUCCUGUAAAACAGAUUUAGUUAUUUAUAAGUAAAUUCCCCUAAAAUAACUUUGUAAAUAUAUCAUGAAAUGAAUCAAGAUCAAGAAAUCAUCUUGAGUUCUUCAAAUUUACUUCAUUCAUUGAAAUUAGGGGUGUUAAAAACCAAACCAACCCAAUAGAAAACCGCAAACCAAACCAAACCAAACCAAACCAAAAUCGCAAAAAACCGCAUUUGGUUCAGAUGCGUUUGGGUCAUUCUCUAACAAAACCGCACGGUUUGGUUUGGUUUGCGGUUUGUAUUUUUCAAACCGAACUAAACCAAACCAAACCGCAUUAUGUUACAACUCAAACUUCAAUUAUCCCACAUUCCAUCCAAAACUCAAACUUAGUAUGCCUUAACCUUCACAUUAAAACAUUUUCUCUAACUCACACUUAGGGUUUCAAUUUCAAAUUCUUAAAUCUCUCAUAGUAGUAUCGCACAUUCUUCUCAUCUUCUUUACUGUGUACGGUUCGCCUUUUCUACUAUAAUAUUUCCUCUCUUAUGUGUCUUUCUUUUUCUUUUAUGUACUAUUUUCUCUUCCAAUUACAUUUUAUCGCAUAUUCUUCUCAUCCCGCAUCUCUUAUGUUCUUUUUUUCAUCUUCUCUAAUGUCUCCUCUCAUAUGUUUUUUAUGUUUUAUUAUAAUGUAUUUGAUAUAUUUUAUUCUACUAUUAUAUAUAUAUUUUUUAUUCCAUUUUUGUCUAAUCUAAUUUUGUGUAUAUUGAAUGCGAAGUUUUUGUCUAAAUAUGAUAAGUUUUGAUGUUAUUUAGUAAUGUAUAAAUGACUAAAUACAAAGUUAUGUUGUUCUCUAUAUGUGUAUGUAUGGCUCAAUAAAAAUAUUAUAAAAAACCGAACCAAUCCAAACCGCAUUGGUUUGGUUUGGUUUGGUUUUAUUUCUAAAAGUCAACCGAACCAAACCGAACCGCAUGCUUUUUUCUCUUGCGGAUCGGAUGAUUUUUAUCGUCAAAACCGCCCAAACCGCACCGCGAACACCCCUAAUUGAAAUGGAUAUGCAAUACAUUGUUUCAUUUUCUUUUGUCUUUAUUUUUCACCCGAAGAUUUUUUCCUGUCACUUCCAUGAGAAACUUUCCUAAAAGGGUACUAGUACGAUCAUCCAAUCAUAAUAUAGGAAAUAGUCAAAUUAAUUGACUAUUGAGGUUUAGUGUUUUAAGUUGGAUCAACUCCUUCUAGUUGGUUCACGUGUAAGAAAGUACUGGUUUCAUGGAAUAUAUACAACAUAUAUAGGUGAAGGGUUUCUAAAUUCAUAUCUUCCCUCAUCUUUAUGUCCAAAUCAAAGCAUCAUUUUAAUUAAUAAUGACAACACUAGAAAAAACAAAAUGGUUGUUUUCUAGAGGAGUAAAAGUAUUCACCUAAUUCUUCUAAUCUUUUUCAUUUAAAAAAUGGAGAAGAAAAUAUUAUCAUUAGUAAAUGAAAACUACUCAUAGUUAUUUUAUAACUCUUUUUGACUGAAUUUAGAUUAUAUAUAAAAAGAGAAUAUAUUUGGAUCUAGUGCUUCAGAAAAACUAUUUUUAAAGGUUGAGAUCUAAAUGUACUUGUUAUAAGAGUUGAAUUAAAGUUCUAUAUUACUUAGAACAACAUCAAUUUAGAAUUAACGUUUAAGAUGUGAACCAAACAUAUUUAAAAUAAGAAAUAGACUAAUUGAAUAUCAUUAUCAAAUAAUUGAGUAUUUUUAUUUGGUUUCAUAUGAAAAUUUAUUUUAUUUCUGAAAUUUCUCCACAAUAUGGAUACCCAAUUUAAACUAUUUUGACACAAAUCCGGUUUUAUAAAUAUGGGUUUGAAUUUUAGACCCAUAUCCGAUCCUAGAAUAAAAAGGUCGACUGGACUCGAUCCGACCCUAGAAUAGGAAGGUCGACUCAACCCGACCCGACCCAUGAAAAGAAAACCGGUUAUUAACGAAAUGAUGUCUCCUUUAAGUUAACUUUUUAUUUUUUUUCUGCCGGUUUCCACUUGAGUGAGAAAACGAGGAACCAUUACAUAAGAGUAUAAUUACUUUUUCGGUUUUGCAGAUACAAAUUUCAAGCGUACAGAGAAAAUGAAAAUCGCGAAAACGGUGAUUCUUGUUCUACUAAUAUCGUUCCUUUCGGUUUUGCACUUCUCAAACGCUGAAGAAGAAGCUUUUGAUGUUCGCAAACAUCUCUCUACUAGAUCCAAGUUUUUCUCUUUCAUUCCCCUAAUCAUAAUCAACCAAAAUCUUUCGUGUUUCCUUUAUUCUGCUUCCUCAUUUUUGUUGCCUCUGAUUUUGACGAGACUUCUAUAUGCAUUUGUGAUUGCGUGUGUGUUUGAUCAAGUUUUUGAAACUUAUUGAGAUUGAUGAAAUUGCGCGUGUUAAUUUUCUGCUUAGGUACAGAGUUGUGAAAGACAUUACUGACAAGAACUUCAUUCCUUCUAAAAUUCCUGAAGGAUGCACUCCAAUACAUUUAAAUCUAGUGGUAAUUUUCUUACCAGUUUAGGGUUUUAUUAUUUCAUUAGUUAUGAAUGAUGUUCUACUUUUACCACACAUUUACGCUUGUUUUUGUAAUUUUCACAUAAAUUCCGUAUAUUUUAUAUUUAUAUGUAGCCUGUUCAAGAGUAUGAUAAUUGAUAAUGCUAUGUUACGUUGCCAGGCAAGGCAUGUGACCCGUUUUCCUACAAAGAAAAGAAUAAAGCAGUUGGAUAAUUUGUCAGCCCAUUUGGAAGUUCUUAUAAAGGAUGCAAAAGAGAAACAUUUGUCUUCGGAGAGAAUUCCUACUUGGUUGAAUGGAUGGAAAUCUCCUUGGCAAGGAAAGCUUAAGGGCUUUGAGUUAAUUAGAAAAGGAGAGGAAUAAUUAUAUGCUCUUGGAAUCAGGGUUAGAGAUAGGUUUCCAAGUUUGUUUGAUGAGGAUUACCAUCUAGACAUAUAUCCUAUAAAGGCAACUCAGGUGAGUUCAUCUUCAUUUUUAUCUUUAGGUAGAUUUGUUCUUUUGAAGUUUCUGGUAAUCUCAACGUACGUUAGAGUCACUAAUAGUUUUGGGAGAGUUAGAACACAUUGUUUUGAAUUAAUAAAUGAAUGCUAAUACAUCAUGAUUAGUUGCAGUGCCACUGCAACACUGAGAGUCUAAGACAUGAAUUUUCCUUUUGAUAUUUCAAAAGCUUAUGCAUCUCUCUUAUGUAUGCAAAAUAGAUUCCCCGAGCAUCAGCUAGUGCUGUCGCAUUUGGAAUGGGUAUUUUCAGUGGCAAUGGAACUCUUGGACCUGGGGAGCACAGAGCCUUUUCUGUUAUAAGUGAAAACCGUGCUAGUGACACCAUGCUGAGAUUUCAUGAAUGUUGUCAAAACUACAAGGUAAUGCUGUAGCAAUUAUUAAUUUCUCAGUAGGAUUUCUAAUGCAAAAGUUUCAUGUUUAUCUGACACAAUUACAUUACAUGUAAUCUGAUUAUAGAUUAGCCAAUUUCAUGUAUUUUAAUGUAUUUACAAUUAUGCUUCUAUGCAUUAUUGUUAUAUACAGUCACCCAAGCUGCAUGUGGCACUUUUUCUGCUGGGCGUAUAUUUUAGACCAUUUUUGAUGGCCAAUCAGGAAAAUCAUGUUUUUGUGUUCCUUUCAGCGAUAAAUUUGCUUAUAUUUUUCUGUUAUGUGCUUUCUGCUUACCGUUUUGUCCCGUCACACCGUUCCUACGGAGAUUAACAAAUUUAGUUGAAAUCACUAUAUUUGUCUAAUGUAGGCCUUCAUAUGUUGAAUAUGAAAGCAAUUUUGUGUUUAAAGAGAGGCUAUACUUAAAAUAUUCAUACAUAUGUUAUCUCUGUUUAUCUAAAUUGUAUAUUUUGUGAUCUUCGGUAGUCUUAAAGGUAUUGAAUGUUUUGUAACAAAAAAAGUAGUCUCUAGUUUUUUUCCUGACUUUUUUUUUUUAUGGUUAUAUGAUUUUUUUUAUGAGAGCAGGAUUUCAGGAAAAGGCAAGAGCCUGCAAUUGAUAAACUUAAGGAACCUACGUUAGAUGAGAUUACAUCUGCAUUAGUUGGGCGUUAUGGACUGAAUUUUACAAGGCAGGUUACAGCAUCUCUUUGGUUCUUAUGUAAAGAGGUGACACCAUUUCUUUAUUCCCAACUUCUUCUGAUUUUCCUUAUGUUUUUCUUUUAAGUUCAGACAUAAUCAUUUACUUGUGUCUUGGAUGUUAGUUAUUUUUGUUUUUCUGUUUCCAAUUGUCCGUUUUGUGGUUAUUUUGGUAAGAAGCAUCCUUGUUGGAUAUAACUGAUCAAGCUUGUAGCCUUUUCAGCCCAUCUGAGGUACUUCGUACUUUUAUGGCCAAGAUGUUGUGAUUUGGUAUUUGAUCUAACCUUUGACUUUUUUCUUUUUAUUUGCUUGGAAAUAUUUAAAUAUAGUAAAAAUUAAAAGAUGUCAGACCAUCACUUAAUUUUGACGUUAUGAUAUACAAGAACCAAGUUUUGAGUCCUUGAUAUGAUAUUUCUAUAAUAUGUCAUCUGACCUCAAAGAAACUGAAUAUGACGUUUUUCACGCUGUGAAUGCCAAGGAAGUUACUAUUGUUGAGUGUAUUCAAAAAACUCGUUUAGCCCCCCGCACAUAUAAUCAAGAUCUGUGGCUGAGUUUUUCUUCAAUACAUUUGUUUAAACUGAUAAAGGAUGCAAGUUAUGUUUACUUGAGUAGAAAAAGAGAUGACUCAAAUGUUGUGAGAGAUAUUUUUUAAACACACCACUGUUUUCUCCCCAACUCACGACAACCCUCCCUCUAUUUAAACAUCCUUCAUUUUUUCCUUAUCUUUCAACUAACCAACAUACUCAUAUCCAUCUUCUUUCCUUCACCAAAACACCAUAAAGAACAUCACAACAAACUCUCUUAAGCACAAGUUUCACUCCACACAAUACACUAUCAAACAUAACGUUCGUACAAGUAGACACCUCUCAUCCUUCACUCUAAUAACCUGCGAUUUCACCAUUUUCUUCUUCCACGUUCUGCAAACACAACCACAAACCUUUCUGUCGCCAAAAAUAAUGUCGGAUCCGCACAUCACCUUUAACCUCCAUCAAAACCACACAUUUUGUCGUUGUCUCAAAAAGUUAGUUUAUCUCUCAUACACAUUCAUGUAGUUUUAUUUUAUUGAAUCAUGAAAAAAAAAACACAUAUAUAUANAUUAAAAUAAAAAACAUAUAUAUAUAUAUAUAUAGAUAUAUAUAUAUAAUAUUAAUAUUAUAUAUAUACUAUAUAUAUAUAUAGGAGAGAGACGAGAGAGACGAGGAGAGGAGAGAGUAGAGAAGAGAUUGAUUAAGAUUAUGUAUUAUGAGGUCACUGAGAUGAGUGAGUGAUGUUACGUGAGAUAAGUGAGUCAGUCGUACAGAUAAUAUGAGAGCCCUUAGAUUCUAUCGAAUUUGUUAGUGAUGAACUAGUAGGAGAGUAGAGACUAUUAGGUGUGUAGAGUGAGUGAGAGAGAGGAGGUAUGAGAGAUGAGAGAGAGAGUGAAGGGACUGAUAUAGACGACGAUGAGGAUUAAGAUAUAGAGAGAAUGAUGUAGUAUGUGAGAGAUGGCUAUUGUAGUCUAGAGAUUUGUAGAUGUGUAGAGGUUUAGCCAGAGAUAAUGUCUGAGUAAGACGAGCAGUAGCUUUAGUUACUUGAUGUAUUCGAGGAGAUUUAGUGUAUGCAAAGUUAUAGUUUGACCGAUCGUUACUUGAGAUGGUAGAUGUCGAUUGCAGCAUAUAGAUAGUAUGUAUUGGAGAUAUAGAGAAGAGUGACAUUUUGCGAGUGAAUGAGGUAUGUAGAUGUACUCGAAGCAGUAGUUGAUGUUGUACGUGAAUGUCGAGUUAAGGGUAUAUAAUCAAAGAAUUUUGAACGCAUGACUGUGUAGAGUGACCGUUGAGAGGUAGAGAGAAUAUAUGAUCGAUGCGAUCAAUUGACCGUUGCGAGCGUGUAUGAUAAAUACGAUCAAGAAGCUAUGUAUUAACGAGAGAAUUAAAUCGUCGCAGAUUUAAGGACCAAUGAAAGAGAAGUAGAUGGUGAUAAAGAAAUAUCGUAAGAUAACUUCAAUUUGCUAUGUAGAAUGAUUGUGUAGGUAUAGCUAGAAUUUUUUACGAUCGAGUAAGAGAGUAUUCUCCAUGGUGAUGAGAUAGGUGUAUGAUUUGUGUACUGACUCUAAGAAGAGACGCUGUGUUAAAGAGUAACGAUCAUUGUAUAUGCUUUAUUGUAAGACUUUGAUUAAUCCUUUAGAUUAUAUGUGUCAAUAUGUCUCGUUAAGAAGUUUUGGAAAACCCUAUUAAUCAUCGAGUUUUAACGACGUGCGAGUUCCGAGCGGUACCCCGAUGAAAGAGCAAUAUUUGAGAUCAACUGAGGCAAUUCUGCUGUAUAUUGCUAUAAGAGAGUAUGGGAUUGAUAGAUAUGUUGACGAGGUGAGUAGAGGACGAAGAGAUUAGGAUGUGAUAGCUUAUAUGUGUGAUUCUCUUCUCUUGCUUAUACUUGACUCCUCCACAGUAUGAUAUUAACCAGGUUUUUUCCACGGUAUAUACAAAUAACAAUGUCGUGGAAGGAGAAAUUCAGAAGAAGUUCUCUUCUUCACUAUGUGCGAACCUCUCAUCUCGUCUGUUCUAGCUAAUAUCUCCGCCAUCUAAUGUCGUGCUCGCACGAUGCUGGGUGCUUGAUUAUCCAUUUGUUGUAUCGAUUCUUUUUUUCCUUCAUCUUUUAUCUCAUUUUUGUAUUGCUUGUUUUUUGUUUUGUUGUGAUUCUCAUUUUCGUGUACUCGAAGAUGCCCUCGUGUCAUUGUUUAUAUGGCGUUGUCUCGUUGUAGGUUCAUCCGUUCCUGUCCUCGAUUUUCCAGUGCGGCUAGGCCCCCCCCACUGGCAUAUUAUCCGAUGUCACUAUAUUUUUAAUAUCAUUUUUUUGAUGAGUUUUGCCAGGGCGGUACGUGCCGCCUUCGUACCAGAAACAUGAAGUGUACUAGCUCUGGGAUACUUAGCUUUACAUUGUUACGGUCACAGUGUUUUAAUUUUCUAACUGAGUUUACGAAAGCUAAUAGACUCGAUCAAUAAUACCGACACGCAUAACAUGUGUGAAACCCAUAAUGCGCUACUGUAAAAAUAGUAGCCUUUAUGUAAUUCUUUCUGGAAAGAUUCUCGUUUUAGAUCGUGAUGUUGGUGAGUAUGUUCUGAUGUGGUUUCUGUCCUUUGUGUGUUUUCUUUUCUUUCUGCUUGGGCUCAUUGUUGGCUUUUGACUCCUGUUUUAACUCAAUACCUACAAACACGAGUUUCCGUUGGUAAUGAUUUAUUUGACCUUCAACCAAUAAUGAUCCCCCACACAAAACUAUAUCUAAACUAAAUACCAUAAUUGUAGUAAUAAUUCUAUUUAAUACAUACGGACAAAUAUGAUAUAGAUUUACAAUGAAGCAAACAUACUGAAGGCUCACUCUUUAUAUUCUUUUUAAAGUGGAGAAAUAUAAAUAACUGAAUACAACAUACCUUUCAUUCUGUUAAAAUGAUAAUAACUACUCCCAUGUCAUAUAGACUGCCCGGAUGCCCGCUGUGUGUUCUUUCAGUGACCUGGACGGUAGCGGGUCAUGUCAGGCUAUAGAAAACCUCAAGAUGUAUUAUAGGUGCCGUGGUUCUUAAAGUAGUGGGCGGGAGUUGUGGGAUGCCAAAUCCAUAGACUAAAAGAUGAAUUUCAAGCAAGCAUGUAAUCCUCAAAACAUGAUCACCCUAAUCUCUCUUCCUACUAACCUACAUAACAAAUUAAGAUCAAGAAGGAUGAAAGUAAAAAAUUUAUAGAAUAAUGUUAAUCAAUUACAAGUAUUUGAUAUAAGGAUGCCAAAAUUUUGAAUACUUUUGUGUAAUAAGUGUAAUUUACAAAUGACUGUUUGGUUCUACAGAACGCAAAGGCUCAGAAUGAAUACAAAGUGAAGGCACCACGAAUGGAAUCAGAGAUGAGAUAUUGGUUUUGUAAUUCAUAACAUAUGUCCUCCUGACUAUGUGGCCAAACAAGAUAAUAUUAUCCUGGAGGUAUAAUGGUUCGGAGUUUCGAGUACACUAGGUUUUCCUGAAUCCGCACAUGACAAGUUAUCGUGAAUGUUUGUCAAUUUUUGAUGAUUCAUAGAAGACAAAGAUAAUUAUUAAUUUGAUAAUCGACAACUAUUACACAAUUAGAGGAUCUUUGGUGAUGUUUGGAAUCAAAUGGCACAUCAAGGGAAAAUCAGGGUAGUAGAUCACCAGUUGUGUCUGUGAUACCUGCAACGAUGAGAGUAAUAUGAGCGAGAUGUUUAAUUGGCUUAUCAUGCGGUUUACCACCCCAUUGGCCAACAAUGUAAGUUAUGAAGGUCCCUUGAUGCCACAUCAAAAAACACAAUUUUUUGAGGAGUCCUUCUUUCUCAAAAUAGUGAACUUUUCAAGUCUAUACUUAGAGUGCAACAAAUUUUCCCUAUCUGUCAUGAUUCAUUUAAUUAUUCUCAACCCCCCUAAUUCAGUGUUUAAUUUUCAUUAUGGGAGUAUUAUAAAAAUACCUAUCUGUUAAGAGCGAGUUCGUGUAUUAUUGAACUAGCAAAGUCAGUUAUAAGGUGUGGCAGAGAAAAACCUAAGGUUCAGGUCACCUUGACAGUAUGAUUCAAUUAUUAUUUUACGAAAAUUUAGAUUUCAUGAUGUUGUAUCAUUCAACAAUCAAACAACCGAAAACCCAAAACAUUUUUGUCAAUAAAAUAAUUUUUUAUUAUUCAAGUAACUAGUUUUUCCAUAUCUGGUUUGAUACUCUAGGUUGUUGACUCACACAACAUUUACUUUGCAAGCAAACUUGUUGUGAUCCCUGCCAUCAUGGUUUUUGGACUAAGAAUGGAACCUCAAUUUAUGGUGCUUCUUGUGCUACAUUAAGUCGAUGGUAAAUGAUACAUGUUUUUCCUCUAGGAUCAAGCUUUGCUAGAUAUAUAAGUUGUGGAUCUAAGAGUUUGCUUAUGGAACCAAGAUAUAAGGAAAUCCUUUUGCAUACUCUCAGAUUCCAAUGUGAGUUCAGAGGUAAAAUUUAUGUGUGGUACAUACUAACAUGUUUCAUCCUUUGCAUAGUGUCACUUAGAGGAAAGUGAUAAUUUUUCCUUUUUUUUGUCAACAAGUUUAAAUUACUUUUAUUAUCCAAUACAAAUUUUAGUCCUAUGUGUUGAUACUUAGUUGUAAUCACCAUUAAGUGAGUUUAUGUAAAUAUCUACUUAUUAAUUGUUAGGUUGCCAUCAAGACUUUGGCCUUGGUAAUGCGACACCUCUAAAUUUUUAGUCGUGGCGGACGAGUGUAUCUUUUGUUAUAUCUGGAGAGUGUCUUUGUAUGUAAAUCGUCUUGGUAAAUUAAUACAUGGCUUAUCCUAUAGAUCUGAAGUUUUCUGUUAGAGGGUGUGAUGAAGUUGAUUAUAGAAAACUAAUGAAAUUAUUUUUUGUGGGAUACAGAUUCCAAUGAGUGAGUUAAAGAUCAAUUUUGUGGUACAUACUAAUGGUAUGCUCCCUUUAUGAUAAUAAUGUGCCACUUAUUGGGACCGUGUAGAGAGAGAGAGAGAGAGAGAGAGAGAGAGAGAGAGAGAGAGAUGACAUAAGUUGAAGAAGAAGAACUUUUUCCUCCUGUUUCGUGUUUCACGUGGGAUGAGAGAGGAAAAGGAUUUGUGUUUUAUUUUUGUAAUUAUUAUUCAUUGUUAGGCUACGUGUUAGUUUGUGAUUAAUGGGUUUUAAAAUUUUAAAACAUUGAUUCUAAGGAUUAAAGUCUACCUAAACAUGAAUUAGGAAACAAACUAAUCAAAUUAGAAAUUAGUAAUCUAAAUCAUGCAUUGAGUUCUAAUAUACAUGAUCAUGACAAUCGUAAUGUGAUAUACGGAUCAAAUGGAAAUUAACCUAAGAUCUAAUCAUGGUAAAAUCUAUACUUAAUCAUAUAAAUCCAAAUCUUGAAUUAAAAUCAACGAAAAUGGAUUAACCAAAAUUCUAAUGGCAAAUUACAUCCAAUCAAAGCACGGUUAAACUAAUUUUGAAUUAAAUCUGAAAAAUCAAGAUCAAAGUGAAGAAAUUGGUUAAACCUAAAUUCUAAAUCUAACUAAAAGCACAAUAAUUCCUAAUUAACCAUGACUUAGCCUAAUUACCCACAAACUAUAUUAAUCCCUAAUUAACAAAAAUCUAAAAAAACCUAAAUUUAGCACAAUUAAGAAAUAACAACAACAUGAUUAAUCAAUAAGGAAAAAAAGAGAUUAAGAUAAAUUAAUAAAAUUAAGGAUGUAUAUGAGCAUUGGGCCAAGGGUAAUACCAUUGGAGGGAGGUGUAGUUCAAGAACACAAGUGCUUGGUUAGGCCAAAAGGCCCAAAUCCUUCACAACCCAAAUCCGGAUCCAGUCAUUGUCGCAACCUGAAAAAUAUAGUGUGCGAAAAAACAAUCGGCGAAAAAAAAUGACAGAAGAGUCGCCACCGUGCGUUAUUUAUCCCAAAGGAGGGGGAAGGAAACGCUCGAAGUAAACCUGAAAAGAGGAAAGGAAAAGACAAGGUCUCAGAACCAAAUCUUGGGUUCGGGAGUCGGUUAUGCGAAGGGAAGGUAUUAGCACCCCUACGCAUCCGUAGUACUCUACGGGAUCCACUUUUGUAGUUCUUGUCUAAAGGGUGUGAGUUUAUCUUGUGUUUGUGUUGUUUACUAAAAAAGGGGGUUAAAUGAAAAUGACUCGCGCGGAUGUCGCAUCCACUACAUACGUAUCUCAUCUGAAUAUGAGAAUCAGAGUCUUCGUAGCUCGACUGACCUAUGGGUUGGGGGAUGUGUGCUCGCUAAGAGAUCGUGUUUUAUGUCUACGUAUCUCAUCUGGAAUGAGAAUCAGAGCAAACCGUAGUUCGGCUAACUACGGGGUUAUGGAUUGGGUUUUGGACGAACGACGUUACGACGCAAUCUACCGGAUGCUCGACCUUUGGAGACUUACUCGCCUGUAGUAGAAGGAGUAAACGCAUGUUUAGGAGAAGAAAAAUCAAUGAAGGGUUAGGGUUUGGGAUGCUCAUGCAAAAAGGCAGUCCUUGACGAAGGAACCUGUAAAAAAAAACACACAAAAACAUUGCCUCCUAUCGAGGUCUUUCAGCUAGGAAAGAGAUCCUCUCAAGCUGAUUGGAGAGCUUGAUUGAAAUUGAGUUGCACCCGUGAGGUUUACAAAACAAUCUUUAGGGUUUAUGUGAGGCAGAGGUGAUUCUGUGCAGUUGAGUUCCCUUCAGGUUUGGAGGCUACUCUGAACUCUGUUAGCUCUUGUCUCACUAUCUUUUUCCCAGAGUUCUUCUCUCACUAUCUUUUUUCCAGGCAGGGUAAAUAGAAAUAGAAUGGCCUUUUGUUUCACUGAAACUCUGAAUUUAUAACCUGAUUUUUGUGGACCUGUGGGCUCAAAUGAGAGAGGUCCAAGUCCAAGAUUUUUUCUUUUAUUUAUUUAUUUUAUUUUUUAUUUUUUAUUAUUUUUUAUUAUUUUAUUAUUUUUUUUGUUUUUCGUUAUUUAUUUAUUUAUUAUUAUUAUUUUUUAAAUGAAUGCAUGCAUGAGGUGUAAAGCGUAUGCUUCCAGGAAAAAUGAAGGGUAAAUUUUGGGGUAUUACAGCUGCCCCUAUUCAAUCAACUAGAGACCUGGAAAGAAGAUAACAGCGGCUUUCGUGCUUUCGAGGUAUCAAGGGAUUAAAUACAAUAAAAGCCCAAAAAUUUGCACUGAAGUGAAGUGAAGUAACAAUGCCUGUCAGAAUCGGCAAAGAGGUGGUCUUGAAAGAAGAAUCCGUUGCGUCGUGAGAGUCUAGUCUGAAUACCGAACAAAGAAUGCUAACCUGGAAUCCCAAUAAAUGGUAACACAGAAAUAACCAUGGCUUGAAUGCCGCUCAUCAGUCUGAAUACUGGAAAUGACUUCGAUCUGAACAUCGGGAGAUAUGAGAUUAUUAAUAUCGGUCUGAACACCGAGGGGUUGGCCUGAAUGUCACAAGUUGCAUCGACCUGAACGUCGGAAACUUCUUCGAUCUGAACAUCGGAAAAUUGGCCUGAAUGCCACAAGUUGCAUCGACAUGAAUGUCGGAAACUCCUUCAACUUCGCUCCUAUUACAUCAUGAUGCUGAAUUUUACCCUUCACUUUCGUUUAUGUCCGUUUUGGAUGAAGAGUGAAGAUGUUAUUGAUGUGUGAUGAGUGUUGGAUUGGGAGUUGGUGUUAAAAAAGGAACUGAAGUUUCAGUUUGGAUUUUUGAUUUUUUCCAGUUGGAGAAUUGAAUAUGGUUUUGUUAUAAGUUUUUAUGAAUUCUCUUUUCUGUUUCCCCUUAUUGUUACAAAUUUUUUAGGGUGAUUAUGAAGUCAACAAAGUUCUGCAAGUGAGUGAGUCCUUGGAGGUUCCCCAUUGUAGUUAGUUAUAACAGUUAGUAGUUGGUUAGGUUAGUGUUAAUGGAACUAUAUUGAAUAAUUUCUGUUAAAAAAUCAAUGAACUGAUAGUUUGUGUUGUUGUACUUGAAAAAAGUAGUUAGAACUUUAAUGUUAGAAGUUAAAUUUUGUUAUGGUAGGUUAGUUAUGUAAUGAAUGACGAGUUGAAAUGAAUGUUUUGCCUUGUUUGUUAUACUUUGACAUUUGCUUGUGCAGGUUCGGUUUUGAUAUGGGGAGCAAAAGGAUAACCCACAAAUGAAUGGAAGGCCAAGUUUGGAGGAUGAUGGAACUUGAAGAUUAGGUGUUUAGAAACAAUAUGCUUAUGAUAUUUGUGUGAUUUUCUAUGCAUUGAAUGUGUAAUUUUCAUGGAAGAUGGCUUGAGGAAUCAUGACUUCGCUUUAUAGAACUUAAAAUUGUAAUGGUUUAUGUUUGCAUUGAAUGUAAUUUGGAAAUUCAAAUGGUAAUGGAAAUGAUGCUUAAUGAUCAUGUCUAUGAUUUGGUUCAUGUGGAAAAUGAUUGGUUUAACAUGGUUUAAAAUGGAAUAAUGUUUGAAAUAUUGAAUGCUUAAAAAAAUGGAAAGUGGAUUAAUGGUGGAAAUGUAAAGAUAAUCAUUUGAAUGUAUGUCACUUUGAAUGGAAAGAUGGUUGAAUAUGGUUUGUGAAUGAAUGUAAAUGAAUGACAUCAAUGUACUUGUACAUGGAAUAUAUUGGUAAUUGAUUUAACGUAAUUGGAUUAUGGUUAAAUGCCAUGGAAUUGGAAAUUAAAAUUACCAUGAAGUUGAUGUAUUGUGGAAAUUGGAAGUAUUCAAAAUGAUUGUUGGAUUGAAUCAAAUGGUUCAUGCAAAAUUAAAAUAUCAUAACUAUGAAUGAAUUGAAAAUCGAAUUGAAAUGGUCUAUAUGGGAAUCUUGAAUGUGAUUUUUGGAUUUGAAGAUUGAAUUAAAAUGGUCUAUUUGGGAAUGACAAUGAUAUGGUUUGAAUUAAUCUAAACAUAGUUAAAAAUGAACAUCAAUGGAGAAUGAACAUGGUUUAACUAAGCUUACAAGUGAGCAUGAAUAUAAACAUGAGUUAGGACUAGGAAAUCAAUUUUGAUUAGGUGGUUGACUUUGGUCAACUGGUUGACCAAAAAGUCAAUAGUUGACCCAAAGUCAACUUAACUGAAAAUGUGUAUUUUGUGUGGAUAAUAGAAUGUGGACCACAAUGCCUUUGAACCAAAUGACUUGUGCUAUUGCGCUGAUCUUGAACCAAUGAACACUAAACAAGCAAAAGAUCAUGAACAUGUGAAGCUUUGAAUGAAUCAUAAUCAAGGAAUUUAGACAUGAACGAGUAUGACCUUGAAUGAAUCCUUAAUCAAUGAAAUAUGACCAUGAAUCUUCCAAACACAUGAACCAACCAUAAUGGACCAGAUGAAUCAGAUGUACCUCAAACUUAGAUGCACACAUAAAUGAAUGAUAAGGCCAUAACUGUAAAUUAUUGUUUUAAGGAUUGAAUGACCUUAAUGAUGCUUACACCUAACACCAAAGAAUUAGGGUUUUCAUUAUGCUCCAUGAUAAAUAUAACCCAAAUGGAGGGUUCACUAAUCCAAACAUGCCAUGGAAGACCCCUAUCUUAGGACUCAACCACUCUUCAAUGUUUUAUGUGAUCAAGACCCUUGAAUCCAUGAUUUUGUGCUUCUUAAUGAAAAUGGAAUAUACUAUGAUACAUGGAUAUGUAGAUGAGAUGAAUGCGUAUUAGGAUAUGCAAAUGAUUAGGAUUAGUGAUCUAGAUGAUCACUGUGAAGGGUAUGGUGAAUUUCGGGGUAUGACAAUGCUCAUCCUCGCCAUCCAUCACCUUUCGAGCGCCCAUCAUACACAUGCACAUACUGGGAUCCAACCGUCACAUUCUCGGGUUUGCGCCAUUUGAAAAAAAACCACAUUAAUAAAAUUUAUAGAAAUUAUUCAAACCGGAUGUCUAUUAUCAAAGAUAAUCGAUGGCUAAAAAUUUGGCCGCCUCAGAUAACUAUGAGGUAAGUGAUCUGAUAGUUUAUUUUUUUUCCACUGAAUAACUUGUAUGUAAGUUCUCCGAAGAGUAAUUUUGAAUCAUAAUAUCAUAGAACUUGCUCUCAAAACUUCCGAUGUUACAAUGUAUGUAUCAAAUAACUUUGAGGUAAAAUUUCCAGUGACUUUUUUUUUUAUCAAAUAACUAAAGAGAAAUACUUUCAAUUUUAUAUCUGUGGACCGAAUAAUUUGGAUUGAAGAGUUCCGAUAUGUAACAAUCUUUUACUUGUAUUACCGACUUGGAAGACAUCAGAAUAAAAGAAGAAAAAAAAGUUAAAAUUUAAAACAAAUAAAGAAUUUAUACAUAUGCAUUUUAGUCAAAUCUAGUACAUUAUAGGGGUUGAGAGAUAAAUGUUUGGGUAUAGGAAAAAUCUUAUCAGGAGCUCUACCAUAAUUUUGGGCCUAACAUGCAUAUAAGAGCCCAACAACAUCAAGCCAAACCAAUAACCCAUUUCUAUCAUCGCUAUAUCCUCCUUCGCCACACUCUGAAAAACCAACUAAACCCUCAUUUCACACUUCAAUUCAUCACCAAACAGAAACAAAACCAAAACCAGUUAUCCUCUGCGAUUCACAGAAGAAAACACAAAGCAAAAACCUAACAUCAAUGGCUCCGAAUUUGGAAUGUCGCAUGUACGAGGCACGGUACCCAGAAGUAGACAUGGCAGUGAUGAUACAGGUCAAGAACAUAGCCGACAUGGGUGCUUACGUUUCACUCCUCGAAUACAACAACAUCGAGGGUAUGAUUCUGUUCUCUGCGU
rnacentral:lncRNA from 1 species